rnacentral:lncRNA from 1 species
UAGAAUAUGGAAGGAAAUUAAGUGGAAAUGAAGUGUGAAUUGAAUUAAAAAAGUAAAUGAGUUAAUUAGGAUUAAAUUGGAAUUAGGGUAUAAAUUGAAAAGAAAUUCAAUUAAUUACUGUAAAUUAGUGCUGUAAUUAAUAUUGUAAAUUAUUAUUAUUUUCGUAGCUAGCAAAGAACUCGAAGCAUCGGCACAAAAAGAAAAGGAGAAAGUUAUCGAGGAGUAAUCGCGAAAUCGGGUUUGUAUUACUAUAAUUCAAACUACUAUUUAUUAAAUGUUAUAUUUAAAUUUAUAUGUAUGGUAGUAAAAUUAUGGGCCCAGACCCAAACCAAACAAAUAAAAACAAAAACAAAAGCAAUAAAGUGUCUAAAGUUCAGUCCAAUUACAAGAACGGCCCAAAAUAUGAGUGGCCCAAUGCACUACCCGAUUUCACAAACCCAAGCCUUAGCCCAAAUUUAUCAGAAAAGAAAGAAACCCUAGGGUUUCUAUACCAGCACCCUUAUGUGCGCCGCUCCUCACGUGGUGUUGGCACGCUCCACGCCCGAACAGACGCCUUGUCCCAUCGCCUCUGCCACACUGCAAACAAACAAAAAAGAGGACAGAAAAGGAACAGAGAAACACGCAAAGCAAAAGCGGAACAAGGAGAGAGCAGUAAAAAUCACAUGUAAUUGACUAUAAAGCCGAAAGAGAAAAUCAGAUGUAAAAGGGGGGAUUUUUGGGGAAAUACAAAAGAAAAAAAAAACAUUGUAUUACACAAAGAUUUUCAGAGAAAUCAAAAGAGAAAACAAGUUUAAAAGGUUUUUGUUCUUAUUUUUUUAUUCUUGUUUUUCCGUUUGUUUUGAUUUUUUUUUAUUUUACAAAUCUUUUUAACAAAAAUCAUGGGAUAAAAAGAAGGGAGAGGGAACUUAUCCGGAUCUACCGUAAACGCCUCGCUAGAGCUCCUCCCUCCGCCGUCGAGUUCAAACCUAAAGAGGGGAAGAGCCUUCCUAUAUCGGUUUUCUAGACUUUGAAGGCUUGGCCUUCAAACAUGGCUUAAUCAAGGGCUGAAAAGCCCGUUUAUUGCUGCCACGACCACCGUCCACGGUGGAGGAGUGAAGGGCCGACGACGGCGCUAAAAGGGGUCUGAAACCCUAGUAGAGAAAGGAGAAAGUUUUUAAAACUUUCUUAAAAAUCGGCUGGAAAUAAAGCAAAAAAAAAAAGGGUUUUAGUAGUAAAAGAGAACGGCACUGUUUUAAGAAUGAUUCAAAAGGCCCCAAAACGACAUCGUUUUGGGGCCAAACCCGAAAUCUGACCAGACCCAAAAAGGGAUCCGCAUGUUUUCACUCUAAAGGGGUUAUUUACGGUCCGAUCCCUCCACUUUCGUGGUCUGUUGCAAUUCAGCCCUGUUCCCUUUUUCUUUUCUUUUAAUUUUUCCCCGUGAUUUUUGUAAUGUUCAAUUUCAAUCCUUAUUGAGGUUAUGCAUUUUGGGGGACAGGGAUAUUGCCCCAUUUGGUCCCCCAUCUUAUUCGUGUAUCACAAUUUGGGGCCCAAUAUUUUAUUUUCAUUACAUUUUGUUCCUUUUAAUUCAGUUUUAACUUCAGUUCAGUCCCUUAUUCUGUUAUUUUAUUAUUUUGCGGUUUAUCCCCUUUAAUUUCGUUUCAGUUUCAAAUCAAUCCUCAUCUUUUUUAUAAUCUAAACUUGAAAUCCCGUCCUAAUUCUAGUCUAGUCCUUCAUUGAUUUAAUUUCAGUUUAUUUAUUUAUUUUUAUUUCAUAUUGAUUUUCAUUUCUUAUUACCCCAUAUUUCGUUUUAAAAUUUGUUUAUUCAUAUUUUUAUUUUCUUGUUGAGCCAUCAUUAUCACGUACAUUUAUAUUGUUUAUUUAUUUAUUAUUUUUCAUGUAUACAUUUUUAUCUAUAUUGUUGCUUUAUUCAUUUUUUAUAUUCCAUGAUACUUACUUAUUUUCAUCAUAUACAUUCCAUUUUAUUUCAUCUUUUAGUCAAUUUUAUUUACUUUGUUAAUAUUAUGAUUUGACCAAUCAAUAUUAUUUUUACUAUUAUUAUCAUCAUUAUAUUGUUUCUUUGUUUGUAUUCAUACGUAAGUUAUUAUUAUUAUUAUUAUUUUAUCAAACGAGUUAAUAUUAUUUUUUAGCACAUUUAUUUUAUUUUUUAUGUAUCAUUACUCGUAUCAUUAUCAUUAUAAUUAUUGUUAUACUUUUAUCUCAUCUUUGCUAUUUUAUUUUUCAUAUUUUUGAAGAUCACUUACUUAACAUUACGUAUAUAUAUACUUUAUUUACUUAUUUUUUAUUCUAUAUAUUUUAUGUAUACCUAUUCAAAUUCGUAAGGUUAAUAUUUUCUAUAUAAAUGUUCGUUAAUUCGUAUACGUUCUUACUACUAAUAUUUACUCAUGCUUUUGGUUCAUCAGUUGCUUCCUCUUUAUGUAUGUAGUUUCAUUGUCCCAUUCAUUUUAAACAUUUUUCGUUAUGUUUGUUUAUUUUUACAUUAUGUAUCCCUGUUUAUUUGCUUUAUUCAUUUAUUAAGAUUUGUUUACUAAUAUUGAAUCCAUCUUCGUAAUUUUAUUAUUGUCAUUAUAACAUUGUAUCGCAUAUUGUAUAUCAUUUCAAAUGUUGUGCUAAUUUUUACCAAAAUUCAUAAAAAAGGGGAUUCUUUAAAUAAGGCAAUAUUUCGUUUUUUGGAAAUUCGAGAAAACGUGCCCUAAUUUAUUAGGUUUCGAUUUUUCUCGUUUAACCUAAAUAACCUAAUAUCCCUUCAAAUUUCAAAAAUAUGAUUUUUAAAUAGAAUAAAGGAAAUAUUCCGUGUUUGGAGAAUCUAGAGAUCGUGCCCUAAUGUGCUGGGUUUCGAUUUUCUUCAUUUGACCCAAAUGACCAGAUAACCUUUUAAAAUUAAAAUGAAUGAGUUUUGAAAAUCAAAAGAUAAGCUUAUUCUGAUAAUUUAAAAUAUCGUGUCCUAACGUGUUGGAUGUGACAUUUAAUUACCUCGGGACAAGAAGGUCUUUAACAUCCGCUUCAAUUUAUUCAAGCGUUUUAAAAUCAACACUAAUAAAAAAGAGGAUGGUAUUCAAAAUUCUUUUCGAGUUUUUUAAAUUUCGACAUUAAGACAUUAAUUAAUCAAUUAGGUACCAAUUUUGGGCGUUACGAGGGUGCUAAUCCUUCCUCGUACGUAAUCGACUCCCGAACCCGUUUUCUCAAAAUUCGUCGACUAAAAUCGUUGUUUUAGUAAAUCAAAAUGUUUUAUUAAAAUGAUCAAAUUUCCAGGUGAUCCGAUCACACCUAAACAAAAAAGAUCGGUGGCGACUCCCAUAUUCGUUUUUGUUUUCAAAACAAAGUCGAUUCCCGUUUUCAAAAAAAUGGUUUCGACAGUAAGUAUCAAUAUUGAAUUGAAUGAAAUUGAGAUGAAGUAUGAUUAUGAAUGAAUAUUUGAUAGUAUAUUGUUGGAAAGUGGAAAAUUGUAUCGAAUUGAAUUGUACAUUGAAAGUGAAAUUGAAAUUGAGAAAUGAUUUGAAUACCCUAUUAACUAGUUGGGCUGAGUAGGAUAUAGUUGGCAUGCCAUAGGAUUGGAAGAGUACGGGAAUUUAUCGGCUUUGCUAAUCAGGCACUAUAUGUGUUGUAUCAGGUACCUCGUGUGUCGUAUCAGGCACCUCGUGUGUCGUUUUAGGCACUUUAUGUGUCGUAUACUGCUUCUCAUAUAUUGAUCAGGUACUGAAUACAGUUUUAGGCACAAUGUGCCAUACUGGUGUGUUUGGGUUUGGAAUCCGUGUAUCCGCCAAAGUCCGGGUUUGUUAAUAGGGAGAACAAAUGAAAUGAGAAAUUUAAAAUAAAUUGAUUGAUUAUACUAUUGAAAGAAAUGAGAAAGUUGAAUUGUGGAUUGGAAUUGAGAUUGAGAUUGGAAGUGAAAGGCAUGAACUAAAUGUUCAUGUAGUGAUUGAAAUUGAGGCAUAUGAUAUGUGAAUGAAAUUGAAGAAUAGCUAAAAAAAAUUGUAUUGUUAUUGUUAAUAAAUGAAAGUUUAAGAAUGAAUUGAUAUUUAAGAAAUUUAAUCAUUACAUGCUUGAUAAUUAUAUUCUAUUGUUAUUAUAAUUUGAAUUAUGGUAAUACUACUGAGUAUGAAAUACUCAGAGUACGGUUGUUUCCGUGCGCAGGUCGAUAGGAGUCCAGAGUCCCGGUCUAGCAUCCAGAACGAUCCCGACUCCAACAUCAAACUUUGGUGAUGUAUUCUUCUUUUGGUAAAAGUGGCAUGUACAUAGGUGUUGUAAUGGUCACUUUAAAAUGUUUUAUGAUUUUAGUUGUAAUAAAUGAUAUUUGGUGUUUUGGUACUAAGUUAAAUGAAAUGGUUUGACAAAUUUGGUAAGUUUGGUAUUAAACAUGGAAAGAAAAAUGAAUAAAGCUAGUUAGUAAAAUUUUGAAUGAUACUAUGAAUGUUUAUUUAAUUAAAAUAUUAAGCUAAUGUUUUAGGUAUAAUUUAGUUGUAUUUAAAGGUGAAUUGGAUUGGUUGUGAUUUUUUGUUUGGAUUGGUCUCGAUUUGAAUUUGCAGGGAAGGUUAGAUAUUUAUGAAAGAGUUAUAUUGAGUUCGCACAAAAAAAAUUAAAUUACGAAAAAUUUCCCCAAGCACCCAAAUUAGUCCCGAAUCACUCUUAAUUCGUAUUUUGGGCCUCGAGGGUCCAUCUAAGAGACUUUAAGUUUAUUUUAUAUUAUGUUUGAUAAUUAUUUGUAUAUUAAUUGUAAAUUGUCCGAUAGGUCCUAUAAUGCUCCAUAACCCUGUUUUGGCGACGAUUUGAGAUUAGGGGGUGUUACAAGUUACUAGAUGAUAGACAGCUAUCUUCAAUCCAACUGUAUCAACUAAAUCAAUUUAGACAGAAACGUUCCAAAACUUACAAAUCAUUCAGAUAGAUUCCACCUGAGGAUGAACGGCAUAAGGUAAGUACUGAUAGUGUGGUUAAUAAUGUGUCAGGAAUUGCUUCUACAGAGGGACUAAUUCAUAACCAGUAUGGAGUUUGGAUUGCUGGAUUUUCAAAAAAUAUUGGUUGCUGAUCUAUUAUCAAAUUGGAGCUUUAGAGUGCUCUUGAUGGGCUUCAAUUAGCAUGGAAUUUAGGGAUUAAAAUUCUGGUGCUUGAGAUGGAUGGUACUGAAGCAAUUUAGUUUAUUCAAACAAAUUCAAUUGAACAACAUCAGCCUGUAGUGCUACGAGCUAUAAAGGGUCUCUUACAACUUGAUUGGAUGAUCUAGAUUAAACAUGUGUUUAGAGAGGGUAAUAAGGUAACAGAGGGAUUGGCACGAAUGGCAUCCUCAAGACUGUUAGGCAAGCUUAUAUAUAUGCAAUAAUUAGAUGAAAUUCUUCAAUUAUUGAAUGAUGAUUAUUCUAGAAUGUCUUGGACUCGUCUAGCCUACUUAGGAGUUUUUCAUUUACAUUGUACCAAAAAAAUUUAUGAAAUCCCAUGUUAAAUGGCUUAUUGGAUUAAGUCUUGGACGUAGUGCACUUUAAUUACUAUUUAAUAAUUCACAAAAUAUUAUUAUUUGAAUUUAAUUAUAAGAAUAUAUAAAUAUAUUUUAAAAAACAUGAAAAUAUAAAUGUCAUAGAGCAAACAAAAAAUGAAUCUAUUUUUUUAAACCCAAUAAUUACCUUAGUUGUGUAGCACUCCUUAUCCGUAUUCAUUGCUGGAAUAGAGUACGAGGCAUUACCAGAGUUUACCAAAUUAAUUUUCCGUUAUUACAAGUUGAAUACUAUUCAUUUACCGAAACAUGUCAUGAUGUCCUUUAGAUGGGCCUCCAAAGCCCAAAACAUACUUCGAGACCAAAUCGGAAUUAAAUCGAAACCAUAGGGGAUUUUUCGCAAAAUCCCAAAGUUUUUAUUUUAUUUUAUAUAAGCUCAAUAUAACCCCUUUAUAAAUAUUUAACAUUUCCUACAAUUUUAAAACCAAGACCAAUCCAAACCAACCAAUCCAUUUCAACUAAUUUGAUACCAAAUCAUACUUCUAUUAUAAUUAUACCAUUUAAUAUAUUCAUCACUCUUUAUUUUAAUACAUAUUCAUUAAACAAGUCUUAACAUUUAUUUAAUCAUCAAACCAUAUACAUGCCAUAUAAAUCAAAAUGGAAAUUUACAAAAGCUACCGGAGAUAAUUUGGAUAGUGCGAUCCUCAGUGUUGAUCCGAUCCUCCGUAUAUUUUCACAUCAAUCUACAAGACACAUUGAAUACACCCAAGUAAGCUUAUAAAAGCUUAGUAAGUUCAUAGGCAUAAAACAUAAAUCUUACCAAAUAUUCAUACACUUAUACAAUAUACACAAUUAUUAAGUUCACCUGUCAACCACAAUCAUUGGUGAGUUCCCUUGUAUAAACUCACUACCACUUAUCCAUUUACUUUAAUUCUUUUGGGCCGAUGUGUUACAUACCAUUCUUAAUCAAAUUAGGGAACGGUUACAGAAAAUUAAGUACUUCACUUCCACUUUGCCAUAGUAUAACUACAAUCUUGCGUAUGAUCACUUAUCAUUUUUUGAAGCCAUAGCCUUACCACGGUCUUACACGGAUCACAUUUAUCACUUGUCACUUGUAACUGAUCAGAUAAGUAUAGCUAAAGCUACCACUUAUCACUUGUCACUGAUCAGAAGUACUUAAAUCCGAUGUUCUGUUCAAUUUGAUCAUUUAUUUGGUUUUCGCAUUGUUAUUUUAUUCCCAAUUCAUCAAUAAAUAUAUCUCAUCAUACAUUAUAUAAUUCAUAAAAUUAACAUUUAAUCAUUAAAUUUCAGCCAUUUGAACUUACCUGGGUCGAUUUGUAAAAUUUGUGAAAGUUCAGAGACUAAUCAACUACUUUUUCUUUUCCUCGACUUGCUUCGGGUUCUCGAUCUAUCAUUGUAAAAUCAUUCACUUAUCAGUAUUUACUUCACCUUCACUCUAUUUCACAUCCUUAAUGUUUAUAACCCACUUAUAAGUAACAUUAUAUAUAAUUUCACUAUUUACUUAUGUAUAUUCAACAAUGUCUAUCCGUGUCAUAUUCACUAAAUUAUUUUUAUCUUGAGAUAAAAAACUCAAAAUUAGGAUCUGCUAAUUUUUUCUAAAACUAGACUCAUAUAUAUUCUUAUCACAAAAUUUUCAGAAUUUUUGGUUUAGCCAAUAAGUACAUUUUAUUCUUUAAAGUCACCCCUAUUCUGCUGUCUGACAGUUCCGACCCUUCUUCACUAAAAACUAAUUAUCUCCUCGUACCGAAUUUAGAUGAUGUUUCCGUUUAUUUAUUUUGAAAAUAGACUCAUUCAGGAUUUUAAAAAUAUAAAUUUAAGCCUCUAAUUUUUUUCUCCAAUUUUUUAUGAUUUUCCAAAGUCAGAACAGGGGAACCUGGAAUUAUUCUGACAUUGUAUUACAAAAUUUAUUAUAUCUCAUGAUUUACAAUUCCUUUGCUUACACAAUUUCUUCUAUAAGAAACUAGAUUCAAUAAGCUUUAAUUUCAUAUUUUAUUCAUCCUCUAAUUUUAUUUCUACAAUUUUUGGUGAUUUUUCAAAGUUAGACUACUGCUACUAUCCAAAACUGUUUUAGUGCAAAAUGUUGAUUUCCAUUUUGCCCCAAAUUUUACAGUUCAUACAAUUCAAUCCUUGCUUAAUUAACCCCUAAAUUAAGCUAAUUUUUCUCAAUUAAUACUUUACCUAGACAUUAUAAGUUAUUUCACAACUACUGAAAUUUAGAAUUUCCACAUAAAACCCUAACUUCAAACUCUUUUACAAUUAGGUCUCAAACAUUCACUUUCUAUUCAAUUCUUUCAAUAAAAUAAGUAUAUAAACAAUUUAAAGCUCUAAUUCCAUGCUAAAUCAUCAUAUACUUCCAGCACAUAUUCAUAGCAACUUUCAAUUUCUUUCAUAGAAUCAAAAACUAAUGAAUUCAACAAGUAGACCUAGUUGUAAAAGUCACAUAAACACAAAAAUUUCAAGAAAUAAUCAAGAAUUGAACUUACUUGCAGUAAAAAUAUGAAAAACCAGCUUAAGGGAACUCUUCCAUGGUGUUUUUUUCUGAUGAGAAUGCAGAAAAAUAAAGAGAAAUCUAAAUAAUUUCACUUUAAUCCUAGUUUUAUUAAGUAAAUUUUACCAUAUUCCAAUUUUGCCCUUAAUUCUCCUUAUUUUCUUGCUGAUUUCAUGCCCUUGCCGUCCAGCCCAAAUAGACCUUGGGUCUAUUUUCCUUUUAAACCCUCUUUCUUUUAUCAUUUAAGUUAUUUAAUCAUUUCUCAUAAUUUUGCAUUUGUUACAAUUUAGUCCUUUUUGUUCAAUUAACUAUCGAAACUUUAAAAUUUCUUGAUGAAACUUUAAUACUAACUUAUUAACACUCCAUAAAUAUUUAUAAAAAUAUUUAUGGCUCGGUUGAAAAUUUCCAAAGUCUCAAUACCUUGUUUUCGAUUCUAAUUAUUUUAAAAUUUAUUUCUAGUACACUAUUCACUAUUUCAAAAAUUUUCCUAACUUCACAUUUAACUUAUACUCACUAAAUUAAUAAUAUUUUCUACUCAUUUGUCGGAUUUAGUGAUCUCGAAUCAUUGUUCCGACACCACUGAAAAUUCAGGCUAUUACAAGUUGUCUCGACCAUGAACAAGUUUAAAUUUGACUAGACAACUCGAUUUUAAAAGGCUUUUAGACUCGAGUCUAAGCUUGGCCCAAUCAAAUAGUCGAUAUCACUAUUGAAAAACAAUAAAAUAUUAAAAAUAUAUUUUAUAUUUAUAUUCAUAUAUUUAUAUUAAAUUUAAAUAUAUUUUAAGAAUUAUUUAUUGUAAAUUUGGACUAGGUCAGGAUGACACAAGGACAAAAAACCCUUACCCAAGCUCAACGAGAGUUGAGAUGGUCAAGUUAACUGGUCCAUGGGCAAGUAUACAUGUUACAAGUGUGUGUGAUACAUGAUUGUUUCUUAACCCCUUUACAAAGUUAAAAAAUUUCAUUUCUAUCAUGGGUGAAGUCAAUAAUUUUAUUUAAGGGUUGAGAUGAAAAUAUAAAAUUGUGGGGUCAAAGUUAAAAUGCUUAAAUUAAAUUAGUACUUUUUUGAGGGGCCAAAUUAAAAAAAAAUCAUUUGACCGACGUUUAAAAAAGGUUAAAUUGGUUUUUUUUUUAAGUUUUGGGGCCAAAGUUAAAAUGCUUAAAUUAAAUUACUACUUUUUAGAGGGGCCACAAUUAAAAAAAAUCAUUUGACCAAAGUCUAAAAAAGGCUUAAUUGAAUUUUUUUAAGUUUUGAGAGGGGCUAGAAAGUCAUUUCCCAAUUAACCCAAUGGGCCAAAGUCCCUAGCUACGACCUUAACCUCCGUAUACAAAAUAAUAAUCUUUUAUGAUAUAGUUUUUUUUUUUAAAAAACUCUCUAUAAUACAUAGAAGAGGAAUUUAGUUACAGCAAUGUAAAAUAAAGUAGUUUUACACUUUCCGUAACUUAUCUUGCUAUUAAUAUUGUAACAAUCAAAUCUUGUAUUUAUCAAUAUAAUUACACUUGUCAUGAAAUUUUUUAAAUAAAUAUGAUAUUUUUAUCAUAUUGAUCUAAAAUGUUAUCUAUAUUAAUAUAUAUUAAAUGGUUGAAUUUUUUUAAUAUAAAACAAAUAAUUAGUAAAUUUUAAUUUGUGUCAAACUUGGCAUGCAUAAUUUACAUGAAUAAAAUAUAAAAUAAGACGAUUGAAUUGUUAAAAAAGCCUGGGUUUCUAGAUUUUAUGGAAUGAAAAUCAGGAAUGAAAUUCAUUUUCAUUAUAGGACUUAUUCUAUCUCUUUUAGAAGAUACUAUGCCGCCACUCGGACUCGAACCGAGAUGCUCUAGCACUGUUUCCUAAGAGCAGCGUGUCUACCGAUUUCACCAUAGCGGCUUGCUCGAAAUCAUAAUAACUCAUUUUUUAGUCAAUCGUCGAGAUUGAAGGUGAAGGGGUCAAUUCAAUGUAAAAUGUCAAAUUUGUUAGGAAGCAUUUAAUUUUUUAUUGAUAAAUAACAACUCGUUGAAAUAGCAAUUUGAAGGUUCAAAAGGAAUCUUUAGUAUUUAUUGUAACAUUUUAUUUAUUUAAUUAUCCUUUCUAUUUAGUUAGGUCGUCAAUAGAGAUUUUUUAGUUUGUGUUUUCCUAAAAGAGAACAUAUCAAUCGUAUAAAAGAUCAUAGAAUUUUUUAAUUUUUUAAUUUUUCAAGGGUGAUGAUAAAAUUGCUUUGAAAUCCUUCUAAAAAAAAAGAGUUAAUAAUGAUAAAAUUAUAUUUUGACCUUAAAAAAUUAUAAUUCAAAUUUGACCCUGAAAUGAUUUUUUGCCUCCCUUUUGCGUCCCCCUCCUCACUCACUCUCUCUCACACACACACUAUUGUUUAAGCCCAUGAUUAAGUUUGUGUCACGAGUUAAUUGAACACGAACUCAAUUUGAAAAAUUAUUAAAAUAAUCUUUAAUUUUUAAUAAUUUUUCAAAUAAAUUAUAUCAUUAAGAUGAUACAUUUUUUUAUAUUUUAAUAAAACCAAUAAAAUUCUUAUAAAGUAAUAUUAAAAUUCAUGCUACCAAUAUUUACAAAAUUCUACCUUUACCACUCCAACUAAAGUUUUAUUUUAAUAUUUUUCAUAAGCUUUACUAUUAUUACACAAGCUUUUCUUUUUUCUUUAACUUGAAAGUUGAUGUAAUUUUAUACAAGUUAUUUCAUUUUUAGUUUCAAACCAUACGUUUGUAAUUUUCUCAAAUACGUGUGUUUAUAAAAAUGCAUUUUCCACACACACCUGUGUGAUAGAUUAACUUUUUUUUCGCUGGAUCAAAGAUCAUACACAAUAUCCAAAAAACUAAGAAAGUUACAAGCAAACAGAAUCGACCACCCCCACGCAAAACCAACACCCUUAACAAAAUUCGAUCUCAAAAACAAAAUACAAUAGAAAAAACAAAAAAGCCAUCGCACCCCUACAUAAACUCUACCCUCAAAAAAACAGAGCACUAAACAAAAACCAACAUCUAAUGAUCAGACCAAGAACAGUAACCAGCAAAACCAAAACUGCUGAGACAGAAACAGGUACCAGAACCCAAAAGGAAAACUCACCACCAAGCCUUGUACAUCCCAGGACUUCUAAUACCUGCAACCGCUAGAGCAAACGCCAAAUCGUUUCCAUUCUUGUCAGUAAUCGCAAAACAGACAUUGCCUAUUCCAGCCAACCUUAAAUCAAUUUCCCUGAAGCAAGGAAGCAGCACCCACGGUCUCAACUCCUUGUUCUUAAUCCAGCAACAUACCUCUUUAAAACCAAGUUCUAUAGUUAAAGAGCUUUUACUCAUCCACCCCAUAGCUAUAAACAUGUCUAAAGCAAUAAUAAUCCAACCCAACUCAGUAGCCAAGUAGUCUUUAGCAACCACUAGACCCGAAAACUGCCCUUGCCACCCCAUCCGCAUCUCUUAAAACCCCACCACACCCAACAUCAUCCUCAUUCACAACCCCACAUAAGAUAAAUUUAACCCAACCCUUUCUCGGAGGACACCAUAAUCUGCCACCCAUCCCAGCUUUUAUAACCUUAUUCCAACUUCUAAUCGGACAAAUCCACCAAAAUCUCUCCUCCACACUUAGAACAUCUUGGACGGCCUUCACCCACAUUAAAGCCCGCAACUUGGAUUGAAAUACCAAACCAUUCAUUGAAGGACAUUUGCUAUCGAACACUAGCUCGUUCCAGGCUAGCCAAACAGACCAACAUGCUACAGUCACCGAAAUCAACCAUAAACUUUUGCCCAUUCCUGAAUAAGAAACAUUGUUGCCUGAGGAGAAAAAAUAAAAAAAUCCUUCCACAAGAAACCACUUAGUAUCCCACCAUUCAAAAUUUUUUCUCCAAUGUUACAAGCUAAUUUUUAACCCAAAUACCCCUAAACCCAUUUACAAUUUAAACCAAAAAAUUACCAGACCCAAUACAACUUAGCCCAACUAAAGCCUAAACCAUCUAACUACCCAUUCAGCCCAAUACAAAACAACCCAAUUACAAUUAAACCCAAACCCAUAAAACACUAGCCCAAACCCGAAUGGCCCACUAAACCUAACCCUAAUCAGCUUCCACUUGUUUCUGCCUCCAACAACCUCUGAGCACCCCAGCGCCACAAUGUCCCAUUGCCCAUGCUUCUGCCACCACCUGCUCCACCGCCGCCAACCACCACCUGCACAUCAAACACGCAACAGCAGCAAGACAAUGUAACAAAACAGGCUAUAAAAGCCAAAUAGAAAACUGAAAAUAGGGUUCUUUUUCCCUUUCAUUUUUCUUUGUAAACAUCAACUAAAAAGAGAGUUUAAGAUUUCAAUAAACAUACAUAGGUCGUAUUUCAAACAAACAAAAGGGAUCCGAGAAUCAAAUCAGAUCAGAGGCAAAAGGUGACUCCUUUCUACGAGUAUUUUUCAUUCAAGCAUAUAUAUACGAAAAUAUAAAAAGAAAAUAAAAAGAAAAAAAAUAAAAAGAAAAAAAAAGAAAAAAAUUAGAGUUUUACCUUUCCCCUCACAAAUGAUUUUUUUUUCUGAAAUUAGGCCUAUUUAUAGCCCUCCAAAACGGCGUCGUUUUGGGGGCUAUACUUAAGCCCCAAAACGACGUUGUUUUGGCCUUACCCGAUCCGACCCGACCCGUCAGGCCUAGGGUUUGCGUGUUUUUGAACGGAAGGGCUAAUUACACAUUUAGCCCUUCCGCCUUUUUUUAAUUUACAAUCAAGUUUUAAUUUACUUUAAUUUGGACCUAAAAGUUGUUGCGUGAUUCGAUUUAGUCCCUUUACUAUUGUGCGUUUUAAAAUAGUUCAGAAAAUUGCAUUUUUAGCCCCCCUUAGUGUUGCCCGUGUUCAAAUAAGUCCCUCUCUUUGUUUUUAUUUUUAAAAUUACCCCAAAACUUUGUUUUUGUUUUAAAUUUAGUACUUUCUUCAGAUUUGAAUUUAUUUUCGUAUUGUCUUUAUUUUCUUUUUAUAUAUUAUUACUGUUAUUUUUAUAUUUAUUACUAAUAUAUAUUUAUUUUAGUUACUACUAUAUAUAUAUUACGUAUAUAUUAUUUAUAAUGUAUCUAUGUAAUAUAAUUACUAAGUUUUUUAAACAUUAAAAGUAUUUAUAUUUGUAUAUUAUAUAAGUGUUCUAAUACUAUAUCAUAUAUACACAUGCAUUUUUCAUAUUAAUAUAUAUAUGCUUUUAAUAUUAUAUUAUUAUGUAUAUGUUUUAAUAUUAUUAGCUAUCUAUCUUUCAUACCAUUUUAUGUACAUUUCUAAUACCAUCAUAUAUUAUAACAUCAUUAUUAUUUAUAUAUAUAUGUACGUAUCUAUAUAGCGUACGAAUAGUUUUUUAUUAUUAUCAUUUCUAAUAUAAAUAUAUAUAUCAUAUAGGUUUAUAUACAUAUCAUACAUGUUUCUUUAUUUUUAUUUUUAUUAGUUAUAUAUAUAUUAUUACUAUUUUAUGUAUAUAUUUUUAUUAGUUAACAUUCUAUUAUGUCCUUAGAUAUAAUAGAGUUCUUUUGUAAGAGCCUGCAUUCGCUCUUUAUCAUUCAAAUGAAUAUCAAUGAAGAUGCAUUUUGUCAUAAUCUUUCACAUUAUCACUAAUUUCAUAAUCAUUUUCUCCUUUCAUAGCCAAUCCUUACAUUUGCCUCAUGCCAUGCCAUAACAUUUCAUUUGUUGGUUCCAAUACUUGGAUGCCCCUCUAUAGUUUCCUUUUCCAUUCAACUUUCAGGUGCUCAGAUGUUAACAGCAUGAACAAACCUGUUACGAGUCCUGAAAUCGGUUUUGAGAAGGUUGUUUGUUUAGGAGAAUUCGAAGCCGAAGAAAAUGCUGAAGACUAUGUCUCGUCUCCUGACUUGCUAAGAAUGGUGGAAUAACAGGAUAAACAGAUUUUGCCUCAUCAAGAAUCUGUUGAAACAAUAAAUCUGGAACUGAAGAAAGGAAGCAAGAAGUGAAGAUUGGGACUCCUAUUUCAGGGGGCACCAAGCAUAAUUUGAUUGCUUUGCUCCGCGAGUACAAAGAUGUAUUCGCAUGGUCAUAUCAAGACAUGCCAGGAUUAGAUGAAGAGAUAGUGGUCCACAAACUCCCAUUAAAACCGGAAUGCAAACCCAUUCAACAAAAGCUAAGACGGAUGAGACCUGAAAUGUUAUUAAAGAUAAAAGAAGAGGUCAAAAAGUAAUUCGAUGCGGGUUUCUUACAAGCUUCCAAAUACCCAGAAUGGGUGGCUAACAUAGUCCCGGUACCAAAGAAAGACGGUAAAGUACGAAUGUGCGUGGAUUAUCGUGACCUGAAUCGAGCAAGUCCUAAAGAUAAUUUUCCCUUACCACACAUUGAUACGUUGGUGGAUAACACAUCAAAACAUUCAUUGUUUUCUUUCAUGGACGGAUUCUCGGGGUAUAAUCAGAUCAAGAUGGCCCCUAAGGAUAUAGAGAAAACUACCUUCGUAACAAUGUGGGGAACAUUCUGCUACAAGGUGAUGCCAUUUGGGUUAAAGAAUGCUGGGGCAACAUAUUAGAGGGUUAUGGUGACGUUAUUCCAUGACAUGAUGCAUAAAGAAAUAGAGGUCUACGUCGACGAUAUGAUUGCUAAAUCCCGAGGGGAAAAAGAGCAUGUAGUGAACCUGAAGAAAUUGUUCGACAGACUGAGAAAGUUUCAGCUAAAGCUCAAUCCGGCCAAAUGUACGUUUGGGGCUACCUCGGGAAAAUUGCUGGGCUUCAUUGUCAGUGAAAGAGGUAUCGAGGUUGAUCCAGAUAAAAUAAAAGCCAUUCAAGAGUUACCACAUCCGCGCACGCAAAAGGAAGUCAGAGGAUUUUUAGGGAGGUUAAACUACAUCGCCCGAUUCAUCGCUCAACUUACCAACCAAUGCGACCCAAUCUUUCAGCUUCUUCGAAAACAUAACCCGGGAGAAUGGAAUGAGGAAUGCCAGGUGGCCUUUGAUAAGAUAAAACAAUAUUUGUGAUAGUACCGCAAACUCCGGGAAGACCAUUAAUUUUGUAUCUGACAGUGUUCGAAAAUUCAAUAGGUUGCGUACUGGGGCAACACGACGAGUCAGGAAAGAAAGAAAAGGCGAUCUACUACCUCAGUAAAAAGUUCACUGAAUAUGAGGCAAAGUAUUCAUCCAUUGAAAAAUAAUGUUGUGCUCUGGUUUGGGUAGCUCGAAGACUCAGGCAAUACAUGUUGUAUCAUACGACAUGGCUAAUUUCAAAGCUAGAUCCAAUAAAGUACAUGAUGGAAUCACCUGCACUCUCAGGAAGAAUGGCACGGUGGCAGAUCUUACUAUCGGAGUACGACAUCGUCUAUGUGAGUCAAAAGUCAAUAAAAGGAAGCGCAAUAGUUGACUUCUUGGCAACUCGAACAAUGGAUGAAUAUGAGCCAUUGAGAUUUGAUUUCCUAGAUGAAGAUUUGAUGUGCAUUAUAGAAAAAGAGGACGAGUCAUCAAAAAAGAAAUCAUGGAAGAUGAGCUUUGAUGGUGCAUCGAACGUAUUGGGGCAUGGGAUUGGAGCGGUCUUAGUAUCACCAGAAGGGAACCAUUACCCACUCACUGCCAGGCUGAACUUCUUCUGUACUAAUAACAUAGCGGAAUAUGAGGCAUGUAUCAUGGGACUUCGUACAGCUAUUGAACGAAACGUCAAAACUUUAGAGGUAUACGGAGACUCAGCCUUGGUGAUUUACCAAAUCCGUGGAGAUUGGGAAGUGAGAGACUCGAAACUGGUUAAAUACAGUGAUCUAGUGGCAGAGUUGAUUAAAGAAUUCAAAGAAAUAACUUUUAAUUACCUCCCAUGAGAAGAAAACCAAUUGGCUGAUGCCCUGGCCACUUUGGCUUCAAUGUUCAAAGCAAACAGAGAAACAAAAAUAAUGCCUCUUCAAAUAAGCAUAUAUGAAGUCCCUGCACAUUGUUUCAGCAUUGAAAAAGAGACAGAUGGACGACCAUGGUUCCAUGAUGUCUUAGAAUAUAUCAAGAAUCAAAAGUAUCCCGAACAAGCAAACGAGAACGACAAAAGAACAAUCAGAAGAAUGGCAGCGGGAUUCGUUCUUGAUGGGGACAUCCUGUACAAAAAAGGAAAAGAUCAGGUGCUCUUGAAAUGCAUAGAUGCUGUUGAAGCUAGAAAAAUACUUAAGGAUGUCCAUGAACGAAUUUGUGGGACACAUGCCAAUGGUUUCACUAUGGCUAGGAAGAUUAUGAGAUUCGGAUAUUACUGGCUGACGAUGGAAAGUGACUGUAUUAAUUUCGCAUGAAAAUGCCACAAAUGUCAAAUUUAUGGUGAUAAAAUUCAUGUAGCCCCUUUGCCCCUUCACGUCAUGACUUCUCCGUGGCCUUUUUCUAUGUGGGGCAUGGAUGUUAUAGGGCCAAUUUCCCCAAAAGCUUCUAAUGGACACCGAUUCAUUUUUGUGGUUAUUGAUUACUUUAAAAAAUGGAUAGAAGCUGUAUCGUUUGCCAAUGUGACGAAGACUGAGGUUUGCAGGUUUUUGAAAAAGAAAAUCAUUUGUCGAUAUGGUUUGCCUGAAAGAAUCAUUUCAGAUAACGCCUUGAAUUUGAACAACAAGAUGAUGAAAGAAGUGUGUGAGCAAUUCCAAAUAAAGCAUCAUAACUCCUCGCCCUAUCGCCUAAAGAUGAACGGAGCUGUUGAAGCGGCCAACAAGAAUAUUAAAAAGAUUAUUGGAAAAAUGACCGAGACAUAUAAAGACUAGCAUGAGAAGCUACCAUUUGCUUUGUAUGCAUAUCGCACAUUUGUACGGACAUCUACGGGGGCAACUCCUUUCUCUCUGGUCUAUGGAAUGGAAGCUGUGCUACCUAUCAAAGUUGAGAUCCCCUCUCUACGAGUCUUAAUGGAGCCAAAAUUAGAGGAAGCAGAAUGGGUUCGAGCUCGAUAUGACCAGUUAAACCUCAUCGAAGAAAAAUGUCUAAAGGCAAUUUGUCAUGGACAGAUGUACCAGAAGAGAAUGAUCGCGGCUCAUGAUGAGAAGGUACAGCCAAGAGAAUUCCACGAAGGAGAACUCGUGCUGAGAAAGAUUCUCCCAAUACAAAGAGACCUGCGAGGAAAAUGGGCACCGAAUUGGGAAGGACCAUACGUCGUAAAGAAGGCAUUCUCGGGUGAAGCUUUGAUUCUCACUGAGAUGGAUGGGAACGAGUCACCAAAUCCAGUGAACUCAGAUGCUGUGAAGAAAUAUUAUGCCUAAAAAAAACAAAAAAAAACAAAAAGGGUGAUCAAGGCGAAAACCCGAAAAGGGCGUCUUGAUUAACACAAAAGAUUAGGAUGAAAACCCGAAAGGGCAUUCUAAUGAAGCAAACACUGGCUUAAAAAGUAAGGCGUUUUGAACGGUGGGUCAAAUAGUGAGACUACAGUAUUUGAAGCAUUUCUGAAAGCUCGAAAUCUUCUACGCAAGAAGCCAUGCUCGAAAAGAUUCUUGAUUGAGGAACGUGGAAGACUUCAUGUAUUGAAUAUCUAGAGCAUUUGUAUUCAUUGAAUGCAAUCCCUUUUCUCUUUAUGACACUCUUUUACUAUCAUUGGUUAACUUUCUUUGUUUGCUACAUUUGAAAUGAAUAAAUGUGAGGUAUCCUUUUGUCCCUACCUGACCAUGCAUCUCAUUAUGUUGUUCAUUUACAUGAUAAAUAGUGAAAUGACAUACUCUAAACAAAAGAAAUGUUAAGUAUUACUCAGGUAAGAAUUUGAUAAGUACAAGAGCCUUAACGCAAGGACAAAGCUCAACCAGGGGCAAAAGGGUGAUAUCUGAGAAACACAGAUUAUUCGUGAAGCUUGAGGACGGGUGCGGGUACUGAAGAGAAAGUCAAGAGUCGAAGCAAUGAACGCGGAUUAUCAAAAACUGUGACGAAAAAGGGAUAUAUGACAAACAUGGCUAAAGCUCAUAGCAUAAUCAUGUAGGCAUAAAGGCAUUUAAGACAAACAUGUGCAUAUCAUGAUAACAUCAUGAAUGACAUAUACAGGUACUCCAGCGGAGCAAGAGGAUGCAAUGUUAGUUAUACUGAAUCAAGGAAAAGACACUUGAGCUCCACCAGAUGACAUCUUUUGGUAUGUGGAUGUUUCAUUUCUGCGAGAAGUGAGUUGAGCCUCGGGGCACGCCGAGGUAUUUUCAAAUUCUACUUUCAAAAAAAUCAACUCAUAUUGCGAAAGGUGAGUUGAGCGUUGGCUCACGUGUUGAGUCACUUUCAAUUUCUGUUUUUAUGUCUGUUUUCUAAAUCAACUCAUAUUGCGAGAGGUGAGUUGAGCCACGGGGCACGCCGAGGUAUUUUCAAAUUCUACUUUCAAAAAAAUCAACUCAUAUUGCGAAAGGUGAGUUGAGCCUUGGCUCACGUGUUGAGUCACUUUCAAUUUCUGUUUUUAUGUCUGUUUUCUAAAUCAACUCAUAUUGCGAGAGGUGAGUUGAGCCUCGAGGUACGCUGAGGUAUUUUCAAUUAUUUUUUGUCAAAAAAAUCAACUCAUAUUGCUAGAGGUGAGUUGAGCCUCGGGGCACGCUGAGGUAUUUUCAAUUACUGUUUGGCAAAAAUCAACUCAUACUGCGAGAGGUGAGUUGAGCCUCAGGACAUGCUGAGGUAUUUUUGAUUUCUGUUUUUCAAUUUAUGUUUUCAAAAAUCAACUCAUAUUGCGAGAGGUGAGUUGAGCCUCGGGGCACGCUGAGGUAUUUUCAAUUACUGUUUGGCAAAAAUCAACUCAUACUGCGAGAGGUGAGUUGAGCCUCAGGACAUGCUGAGGUAUUUUCGAUUUCUGUUUUUCAAUUUAUGUUUUCAAAAAUCAAUGCAUAUUGCUAAAGGUGAAUUGAGUCUCAGGUCGCAUAGCGAGGUAUUUUCAAUUUAUGUUUUCAAAAAUCAAUUCAUAUUGCUAGAGGUGAAUUGAGCCUCAGGUCAUACGCCGAGGUAUUUUCAAUAGAUGUUUUUUUUCAAUUUCUGCUUCUCAAAAAAAAAAUUAACUCAUAUUGUGAGAGGUGAGUUGAGCCUUGGCUUACACGCUGAGGUAUUUUCAAGUUCUGCUUUUCAAAAAAAAAACAAUUCAUAUUGCGAGAGGUGAGUUGAGCCUCGGCUCGCACGCUGAGGUAUUUUCAAUUUUUCGUUUUUUCAAUUUAUGCUUUUCAAAUUCUACUUUCCAAAAAAUCAACUCAUAUUGCGAGAGGAGAGUUGAGCCUUGGGUCACAUGUUGAGGUAUUUUCAAAAUCUGCUUUUCAAAUUAAGUUUCAAAAAAACCAACUCAUAUUGCGAGAGGUGAGUUGAGUCUUAGCUCACGUGCUGAGCUAUUUCUGUUUUAAUGUCUGUUUUUAAAAAAUGGUCAAUUCAUAUUGCGAGAAAUAAGUUGAGCUUAGGAUCACAUGCCGAGUAAAGAAUAAAGAUUAGAGUUAAUCGAAGAUACAGAUUUUAUAUCCUUGAAGUUACAGUAAAGCUAAUUGAAGUUUUAGUAGAGAAGAUCGAGGCUACAAAUCUCUUCUCCUCAAAUCUCUGAAGUUGCAGUGGAGUGAAUCAAAGCAACAAUUCCUAUGCCCUUGAAGAUGCAGUAGGAUAAAACGAGGCUAUUAGAAGAAAAGAAGUACCAAGAAGUUAAGAUUCAGCGAGACUAAGCAAAAUUGGCCAUUUUUGAGUCUUUGCUCCAUUCUCGUUACACGACAAUGAGCAAAGAGGGGCACUGUAAUGGCCAAUUUUUGGCCCAGACAAAUAAAAAAUAACAAAACCCAAAACAAUAAAAAAGAGUCCAAAAUAAAUAGUCCAUUUACAAUAUUAAACAGCCCAAUUUACAUCAAACCCUAGCCCACAAAAUAUUUUCUGCUAAAAAAGAACCCUAGCCACCAAAGCAUUAUAGCCGCCGUUCCUCCCAUGCAUGCCACCUCGGCCAUCAUGCCCUGACCGUCGCCUCUUCCACGCGUCGCAUGGCACCUGCAACAGAGACAAAAACAACAGCAAGAGAAAGCAUGCGAUGAUGGAAGAAAAAAUAAACAAAGGAACAAAAACAAAAAAUAUGGGAUGAAUGUUUGGUAGAUCGGCUUUAAAAAGCCAAAAUCUAUCAUUUGUAAGGGGGGAUUUUAGAGAAGGAUCGAUUGUAUUUUAGGAGGAAAAACCGAUUGUAAAUAAGUUUUUUUUCUGUUUUCGAAUACAAAAGAAGAGGGAUUGUAUUACACAGAUUAUUAAUCAAAAGGAGAAGAAAAAAAGGGGGAAUAAAAAAAAUACAAAAGUCGGAUUGAAUACAAAUACGAAGUAUAAGAGAGGAACGAGGGGUCUUACCGGAGUCAUGCUCGUGCCGUCGGCGACCAUGGCGCCUGGGAUCUUGAUGGAGGCGGCGUCCGACUGAAAUGGGAAGAGAGAUGAGAGAGCAUUUGAAAGUUUUUUUAAGUUUUUUAAAAGAUGCAGAUGUGAAAAUGGUGUUUAAAACAAAAGGUGAUUUUAAUAGCAGAAUAAAACAGCACAGUUUGGUGCUGGACCCAUGCCUUUUGGCUUAAAAUGGGGAAUUGGCGCAAUCGGUCCCUCUCCUUCGCUCUUGCAUUCAAUUUGAUCUUUCCCUAUGUUCUUUAUUUUUUUUAUUUAUUUUUCCCCUAAAAUUGGCGCAUCUGUUCACUUCAGUCUGGGCUGAAAUGUUCCGUUUUGGGGGUUUGGUAUGUUUGUUUUUUUUAAUCCCUGUUGGUUUUCGCGCAGGGCAUUUUAAUCCUCCUUGUGGUUUGAUAGAUUUUAUUUGCUUGUAAAUUAUCUCCUUGAUUUCAUUUUUACUUCAAUUGGAUCAUUUCAUUAUUUUUAUUGUUAUUCCAUUUUAAAUUGUUGCAAAUAUUCGUAGUUUUCUUUGGAAAAUUUGUUUAAUAAAUGUUCUUUGGAAUUAUUUUUCUUUCUUGAUUCCAUCAGUUGUUGUAUAUAUAUAUUCAUUCGUAUAUGCUUUUAUAUUGCAUAUUGAUGUAGUGCAUCACAUUAGAAUUAAUGGUUUUAUAUUUUUGUAUUGUUUAGAUUAUUCUGAUAGCUAGUGUAAAUGCCUUUAUAUGUUAUUUUAUGUACAUGUAUGCAUAAUUCUUUUUGGUUUGAUUUUAUUCCAUGAGUAUAAUUUCUAUUGGGUUAGUAUACGCCAUUUAAAUUGUGUUGUAUAUUACUAAAUUUAAAUUUCCUUUCAUAUAGUACAUAUUAUAAGUUUUGUUUGUAUGUUAUUAUUUUAUAUAUUAUUUCUUUUUUCCCAUAUUUCAAACUGUUACAUUGGCUACCUAUCAUAAAAUCUUUUUUAAAUUAAUUUUAAUUUGUUGCAUGUAUCAUGGUUUCAAAUUUCUUAUUUGAUUUAGCAUCAUUGAUUUCAAGCAUGUUUAUCAUCGUUUUAAAAUUUGUUGCAUUUUGUUUGUGUUAAUUAGUUCUAUAUCCCUUGGAAAAUCGUUUCUUCGAUAGAUAGGUUCUUGAAUGUCAAUGUAAACAUUUGCAUAAUGUAUGACGUGAGUUUAUUAGUAUUGUGUAUAUUCCUAGAUACUAUUAUAUGUAUAUGCAUGUUUUUAUUACCAUAUUGUGUAUAUUAUUAUUACAUUUAUUUUAUUCCCACUAUAUUUAUUAUUAUUAUUAGUACAUAUAUUCUAUAGUUUUUGUAUACAUUUUUUAUAUAUAGUAUUAUUUUCAUAUAUCCUUAUAGUUAUUACUAUACUUAUUAUUUUAUUCUAAUGUUAUUAUGUAUUCAUUUUAAAAUAUAUAUACAUGUAUUUAUAUAGUAUUAUCAAUGUAUAUAAUUUUCUUUAUGUUAUUAGUAUUUAUAAUGUACUUUGUACAUAUUCAUUAUAUAUUAUAUAGGUAUGCAUUAUGCGUGUAUUUUAGUGUUACUAUGUACAUACAUCUUUCAAGAUUUAAAUUUUUUUAUACAUCAUGUAUAUAUUGACUAUAUAAGUAGUAUAUAUAUAUUUUGACUAUUUCAUGUAUAUAUUUCGAAUAUUAUGUAUAGUAUAUUUCUGACACUACUACUAUUCACAUAUAUAUAUUUUUUGGUGUGCAUAUUCUUAUUACCGUUAUUAUUAUUAUAUAUAUUCAUUGUUUUCUCGUAUUUGAUACUAUUAUUACGUUUAAUCUCGCAUGCAUUGUUAUUGUUUUUUUUUUUCAUUAUUGUCAUAUUCGUUAUUCGCUUCCAUAUAUUUCUGGCUCUUUUAUUUAUUUUUAUUUCACAUCAAUUUGCUUUGCAUUAUUUCGAAAAUCUUAUUCUUGUUUUUAAUAAGUGAGGCAAUGUAUUGAUUUAACAUUAAACCGUAAGUUUCAUCGCUAUGUUGGAUGGAAUUUGUCGGCUUGUGUUAAAACGGUAUAUCCUUCUCAAAAACCGAAAACUAAAAUUUCAUGUCUUUUCAAUUGGAUCGCAACUAAAUGUUACAUUGAAUUCGUAUUUUUGAAAAUCAAGACGACACAUGUUUAUGAGAUACCAAUUUUGGGGGUCGCGAGGGUGCUAAUACCUUCCUCGCGCGUAACCGACUCCCGAACCCUACUUUUUCUCUGGAUUUUAACGUAGACCUAAACUCAGCCUUCUUUUUGUUUUAAAAAUAAAAGAAUCUAAUAGGUGUCCGAUCACACCCUAAAAAAAAAGAUCGGUGGCGACUCCCUGUUUAUUUUAAAAUCAAAUUUUAGUUUUCAAGUUUUCAAUAGAUUGCCACAAUUAGCGACCAAGUAAAGCUAAAUUUUUACGUCGCUACAGUUGGCGACUCCACUGGGGACCCCUUUUUGAGAGUCGUGUCUGGAAUUAAACUCGUGUUGUCAAAAUUUUCAAAGUUCCUUGUUCAAAUUAAUAUUUAAUCAUAAUCCUUAAGUUUUGUUUUCGAAAAAAUCAUACAUACGCAUUAUUUUGUAAAUAUCUCCUAAUUUGUUUUAUCUUUUGUUUUUCAGCUUUAAGUUUUAUGGUUUUAGUUUUGUAGUUUUUUAAAUAAAACGUAAAGGUUGGUGAGUUUCUCCCCACACACCGUGCACGUGCAUUCUUGUAUAACAUGAGCUCUAUACCCGGGCUCCGUCCGUUUAAGUGAAAGUAAACACUACGCCUUCGUGAGUUAACUCGUCCCUCCGCACAGGCUAGUGAAUACUUUCGGGUUACAUAUGACUUAUGCUUUCGUGAGCUAACUUGUCCCUCUGCAUAGGCAUAAGUAAAUGUAAUCCCUCGAAUUGAACUCGUGAGCCUGUGAUGGACUACGACCGAGGCUUCGUACUAAUCUUAGUAGAUGACAGUACGGACAAUUCGAGUACCUAUCUAGAACCGAAACCGCAUAUAGUGAACCGUACGAGCCACCUAACUAGAGCCAUGCCGAACCUCCGUCCGUUAAUGGUCACCAAAAUAAGUACGCGAGAGAAACGCCUCUUCUCUCUCAUUUUCUUUAUAUUUACACUAUUUAUGCAAAAGAACUGAAUCGGGUAACUUAAUUUGUUUCUCAAUUUAUAAUUGUUGUGGUUACUAACCAAGUUUGUUUGUUUUCAUUCUUAUUUUACAUCAUGCAUUAUAGGCAUCAUAUUAGGAAGGUGUUGACUAGAGAUUUGGUUGCCAAAAAACGAGUUUCUAAUAGAAGAGUUAAUUAUACAAACAACCGAGAAGAAUGCCGUGGUUCGGGACUAGUCUCUAAAAACUCAGAAAGGAAAAGGAGAUAGUCUAGUGGAGGGAUGUAUUGCUAAUCUGCCCGAGCACGUAACUGUGAAUGUUCGCCAGAAUAACCUUGAAGAUUUGGUUCGGGUUUGGAAUCAGUGGGACUCGGACACUAGGGGUAUCUUCACCGAGAGAUAUGGAGACAUAGCCAAUUUGAUUGCUGUCAACGUAGACGAACGAUUGAUCCAAGCCAUGGUCAGAUUUUGGGAUCCGGCUUACCAAUGUUUUACCUUCAAUCUAGAAGAUAUGACUCUGACUAUAGAGGAGUACGUUGCUUUGCUUUGUGUUGAAAAUGCACAAUUCUAUAAAGUAUAUGUGAAGGAGCCUAAGCCGUUGACCUUCAAGAAAAAGUUAGUGAGAUUGACAGACAUGACUGACGUAUGGGCCGAAAAACAGAUAAAGAAGAAGAAUGAAACCAUUUGUAUUCCAUGGUCUUUCCUACGAGAAUUGGUUCUGAACCAUCCCGACAUGUUGAAAAGAGUGAAUCUAUUUGCUUUGGCCAUUUACGGUUUGAUCAUCUUCCCUAAAGUCCUUAGACACAUAGAAGUUGCAGUGGUGGAUUUCUUCGAAAGAUUAAAGUAAGGAAUCAACCCUGUCCCGACUAUCUUAGCCGAGACCUUCAAAUCCUUAAACAAUUGUAGGAAGGUAGGGAAGGGACGUUUUAUCGGAUGCGCGCAGUUACUCAAUGUCUGGAUUUUAAGCCAUUUCUGGAAAGUAGAGCACACACUAUACCACAUGUUUUCAAAAACUUUCGCCCCAUUGGAAGCCUAUCUUGAGAGAGAAUGGCCAAAGGAUGUCACCGAAGAGCAUUGGGUUUCAGUUUUUCAGAACCUUCGAGCUGAAGGUGUAACCUGGAGAGCACCAUGGAUCCGCCCUUCAGUUCUGUUAUACAAGGUUGGAAAUCAAGAUUGGGUACCAUUACUCGGGUUAUGGGGAGGAGUUGGAUAUGCUCCGCUAUUAGUCCAAAGGUGAUUUUCUUCGCGAUAAUUCAUACCCGCAACUGGAGGAUUAGCAUAGUCCGAGUUCGCUUUCACGGGUAAAGGUUAUAUGAAGAGGAUCCGAGACACUGCAAAGUCUUGGAAGAAAAUUCAUCUCAUUUAAUUAGCCUUAUAUGCUGAUACCCUUACCCAAGAUUACGACAUAUGGAGAAAGCAACGGGUGAACAGUCAGCAAAUCUCGUCAAUGAACUACACUGUCUAGAAUCCUUUCUCGGAGGAAAUGCCGUCUGAGCUAGAAAUGGCAAGACAAGAAUUUAAACGAGAAAAGGCCAAGAUGUCUCAGGACCUUAGUGCUCUUCAAGAGGAAAACUACCAAUUGAAGAUUGACAUUCAGAUUGAAAGAUCUAGAACCGAGAAAGUGCAAAAAGAAGUUGAAGUCGUGAGAAAUGACUUAAGGGACCUCCAUCUGGAAAAUAAAAAGUUAAGAGGCACAAUAAAAAAUAGUGGGCUGGGCAAGUCGUCGGUAGAAUGGAAAGAAGAAAUAAGCAACAUUAAAGGCGGGAUGUAAUUUUGGAAAGGAAAAGAGGAGGAAAAGGCUGCGCGGGCUAUGAUGGAGCUAAGGAAGAAAAACACCGAAUAUGAAGCUAUGUCUGACGAGGUAAUGACUAGUCGAUCUAAACUUCAAGAACUAAAAGAGAGGAUACGAGAGUUAGAAGAUAUGCUGCAAGAUCAUCAACAACAGCUAGAUACUCUCUUGAAGGCUUUGGAAGAAAAAGAUAGUCAGUAUGAUAGAGACGUUCGUGCUUAUGAAGAGGGCCUCCAAGAAAAAGAAAUGCAACUUAGCUAUUUGAUCAAUUAAGUUCGUGGGGUAGCCAUGUACGUGGUACAAUUAUCGGAAGAAGCUGAAAUUCUCAUUUGCCAAUUCCCUCCAAGUCGAAGAUCAAACAUAUCAGAGUUCUUAGCACGAGUAAAGAAAUACGACGACAUAGCUAGGAAGUUUGUGUAAUGGUUGAAUCGAAAAUGGAAAAAUGUUUUGUAAUGAAAUCUUUUGAUGAAUGAAAUGCCUAAAUAGGGGCUACCUUGAAAUCAAUACCAAUUUCUUGCAUUUCCUUCAUGAUUGACAUUCAUUUAUGCAUUCAUUCAUUCAUUCAUUCAUUGCAUAUCCCAUAAUCAUUCGCUAAGGUUAAAAUAUACAAUUCGCAGUUGUAAUACCACAAGCCUGGAACCACAUCAUUCGUAUAGAACGCGUCGACAAGUUAGGGCAAUGGAGGCUGAAUUCAAUGAAAGAAUCGAAAGAAUGGAAAGAGUCCAAAGGAAAUUACAAGAGCAGUUGGCCAAGUCACAACAAGAGACAAGAGAUUUAAUGGUGAGAUCUCGAGAAGAAUCACUCGAACAGAAGGAUCAAAUGGCCAAUAUGAUGGAAAUGAUGUCAGCUUUAGUUAAAGGAAAGGGACCCAUGCAGAGCCCUGACGUCUAGGAACCUCGGUCAAGAGUUAAUCACAGUCAAGAUCCGCUCUAUCCCUCAGGAUUCACUCUGCCGCAUGCCCACGCAACACAAAGAGGGUACACCCAAGGGGAACCCACAGACCUAGAGCAACGGGCGAUGCCACCUGCUCACAUAUGGCAAGGAAUGUUUGUAUCAAACCCGGGGGCUAGUCCUGCUGAUCCACUCGUUCCAGAUUUGGACGAUCUAGUAGAAUUAGCCAAGUUGAAAACCGGUGAUCACGGGGUUCAAGAGAAGUAUAGGAGCUUAGAGGAAAGACUUAAAGCAAUAGAGGGUACUGAAGCCUUCUCUGCACUGAGUGCCAAAGAGCUCAGUUUGGUGCCCGAUCUGGUUCUGCCUCCGAAAUUUAAAGUACCAGAUUUUGAAAAAUACGAUGGCACGAGAUGUCCAAAGGCGCAUCUUGUUAUGUUUUACCGGAAAAUGACUGGUUACGUGAAUGAAGACAAGCUACUCAUACAUUGUUUUCAAGAUAGUCUAGUAGGAUCGGCUCUUCGGUGGUACAACCAGCUUAGUAGGGAAAAGAUCCGAUCCUAGAAGGACUUGGCGUCAGCCUUUUGUGAGCAGUACAAGCAUGUAUCGGAUAUGGUGGCUGAUCGAAUGACCCUACAAAUGAUGGAAAAGAAACCAGCAGAAACUUUUAGACAGUAUGCACAAAGGUGGAGAGAUACCUCAGCCCAAGUAGAGCCUCCACUGACUAAGACUGAGAUAACAGUCCUUUUCAUCAAUACUCUGAGAGCACCAUUCUAUGACAAGCUGGUGGGAAGUGCUACGAAGGAUUUUUCAGAUAUCGUAAUAUCCGGAGAACUUAUUGAGAAUGCCAUCAAAAGCAGUAGAAUAGAAGGUCAAGAAAGUUUAAGAAGGGUAGCGCCCAUGAAGAAAAAAGAAUCAGAAGCUCAUAUGGUGGGAAUGGGAAGCCGUUAUACCCCUAAUCCAUAUCCAAACCAACCCUGACCUCGAAUUUAUCCUCCUCCGAAUUUCUAUUAUCCUCCUCAGACCCCUUACUACCAAGCAUCACCUCCUUCCUACCUUGUAUACGCCAUGAACAACCAAAGGCCCGUCACUACAUUCCCACAAAACACUCUACUCGCUCAAAGCCAACCCAGAAAUGAACCAAGACCAACAAGGCCCAAUCCUGAGAGACCGCAAUUCACCCAUAUUCCUGUGUCGUAUGGGAACUGUACCCAAAACUCUUGGAGAAGCAAUUAAUAUCUCCCCAUUACAUGGCACCCCUAAAACCUCCAUACCCGAAAUGGUACGAUCCAAAUGUUAGUUGUGCAUACCAUUCCGGGAACCAGGGGCACUCUACGAAAAACUGCCUGGCUUUCAAAAGGAGAGUUCAAGGACUCAUCGACGCGGGUAUUCUGCGAUUUGAUGGUACUGGCGAUACGUCCGGGAACCCAUUCCCAAACCACGCCGAAGGGAAUGUGAGCGCAGUGGGAGAGGAGGACAAACGACAAAGUAGAAGAUGGGUUUCUGAAAUAAGAACACCUCUGCAGAAAAUCUGGGAAGUGCUAGUUGAAAAGGGGUUGCUUUGUCAUCUUAACAAAGUAUUCGAGGGAAGAAAUACAAAAGGUCAAAGUUUUUGCGAAUUCCAUGGUAUUGAGGGGCACGACAUUCAAUCCUGCGAAGAGUUCAGGAGAUUACUGCAAAAUAUGAUGGAUAAUAAGGAGAUUGGGAUUUUUUAUAAAGGCAAAGAGGCCGAUAGAGGAGAAAUAUGCGCCUCUGACCAUCAAUCGUCAGGUUUCUCGUAUAGCGCCGAUCGACCGUUAAUAAUUUAUUAUGACGCGAAGAAGGAGCCGGUGUGUAAUAGCCCGAUUUUAGGCUUAGUCGGAACAGUGGUUUCGGGACCACAAAUCCGACGAAAAAAAAAAUGUAAUGGCUUGAAUUUUUAGAGGUGUCGGAACGGUGAUUCGAGAUCACUAAAUUCGACAAAUGGGUAGAAAAUAUUAUUAAUUUAGUAAGUAUAAGUUAAAUAUGAAGUUAGGAAAAUUUUUGAAAUAGUGAAUAGUGCACUAGAAAUAAAUAUUAAAAUAAUUAGAAUCGAAAUGAGGUAUCAAGACCUCGGGGAUUUUAAACUGAGCCAUAAAUAUUUUUAUAAAUAUUUAUGGAGUGUUAAAAAGUUAGUAUUAAAGUUUCGUUAAGAAAUUUUAAAGUUCCGAUAAUUAAUUGAACAAAAAGGACUAAAUUGUAACAAAUGCAAAAUUUUGGGAAAUGAUUAAAUAGCUUAAAUGAUAAAAGGAAGAGGGCUUAAAAAGCAAAUAGACCCAAGGUCUAUUUGGGCUGGACGGCAGAGGCAUGAAAUCAGCAAGAAAGUAAGGAGAAUUAAGGGCAAAAUUGGAAAAUUGCAAAAUUUGCUUAAUAAAGUUAGGACCCAAGUGGAAUUAUCUAGAUUUCUCUUCAUUUUUCUGAAUUCUCAUCAGCUAAAACACCAUGGAAGGGCUUCUUCAAGCUGGUUCUUCAUAUUUUUAUUACAAGUAAGUUCAAUUCUUGACUAUUUCUUGAAAUUUUUGUAUUUUUAUGACUUUUACAACUAGGCCCACUUGUUAAAUUCAUUAGUUUUUGAUUUUAUGAAAGAAGUUGAAAGUUGAUAUGAAUAUGUGCUGGAAGUAUAUGAUGAUUUAGCAUGAAAUUAGAGCUUUAAAUUGUUAAUAUGCUGAUUUUAUUGAAAGAAUUGAAUAGAAAGUGAAUGUUUGGGACCUAAUAGUAAAAGAGUUUGAAGAUAGAGUUAUAUGUGGAAAUUCUUAAUUUCAAUAGUUGUGUAACAAAUUAUAAUGUCUAGUAAAGUACUAAUUGAGAAAAUUAGAUUAAUUGAGGGGUUAAUUGAGAAAGGACCGAAUUGUAUAAACUGUGAAAUUUGGGGCAAAAUGGAAAUCAACAUUUUGCACUAAAGCAGUUUUGGACAGCAGCAGUAGUGUAACUUUGAAAAAUCACCAAAAAUUGUAGAGAUUGAAUUAGAGGAUGAAUAAAAUAUGAAAUUAAAGCUUAUUGAGUCUAGUUUCUUAUAAAAGAAAUGAUGUGAGCAAUGGAAUUGUAAAUCAUGAGAUAUAAUAGAUUUUGUGAGACAAGGUCAGAAUGAAUUCGGGUUCCCCUGUUCUGAAUUUGGAAAAUCAUUAAAAAUUGUACAGAAAUUAUUAUGAGUUAUAGUUUAUAUGGUUAGAAUCCUUAAUGAGUCUAUUUUUAUAAGAAACAAGCUAAAACAUCAUCUGAAUUCUGUACAAUGAGAUAAUUAAUUUUUAGUGAAGAGUGGUCGGAACUGUCAGACAGCGAAACAGGGGAAACUUUAAAGAAUAAACCGUACUAUUUGGCUGAACCAAAAAUUAUGAAAAUUUUAUGGUAUGAAGAUAUGUGAGUCUAGUUUCAGGGAAAAUUAACGUAUCUUAAUUUGGAGCUCUGUAUCUCCGGAUAAAAAUAAUUUAGUGACUCUGACUCGGAUAAACAGCUUUGAAUAUACAUGUUAGUGAAUAUUGAAAUUAUGGUUAAUGUUGUUUAAGUGUGUUAUACACAUUAAGGAUGUGGAAUGGAGAGGAGGAGGAGGAAAAUUGGGAAAUAUAUGAAUGAUUCGUGUAUAAAUGGUCAUAUGUUUGAUUAUAACUCAUAAACGAUGAAAUAUGAAUGAUGCUUAUUUUUGUGCAUUAUUGGUCAUGGUUUAAGCUCAUGUGUGAAAAUAAAGUUUCAUAGUAUGUGUGUAUGGUAUAUUCAGUAUAUGAUUUGGCAUGAAAUAAUACCAUGAAUGGUUUAUGAAUUAACACAUGUUGGUAAGCAUGAUAUAUGAAUAAAUGAUCAAAUUGAGCGGAACGCCGGAUUUGAGUACUUCUGAUCAAGUGAUAAAGUGAUAAGUGGUAGCUUUAGCUACACUUAUCUGAUCAAGUGACAAGUGGAAAGUGAUAAGUAAUAGCUUCGGCUAUACUUAUCUGAUCAAGUGAUAAAGUGAUAAGUGAUAGCUUCGGCUAUACUUAUCUGAUCAAGUGACAAAGUGAUAAGUGAUAGCUUCAGCUACACUUAUCUGAUCAAGUGACAAGUGGAAAGUGAUAAGUGAUAGCUUCGGCUACACUUAUCUGAUCAAGUUACAAGUGAAAAGUGAUAAGUGAUAGCUUCGGCUAUACUUAUCUGAUCAAGAGACAAAGUGAUAAGUGAUAGCUUUAGCUACACUUAUCUGAUCAAGAGACAAAGUGAUAAGUGGCUACACUUAUCUGAUCAAGAAACAAAGUGAUAAGUGGCUACACUUAUGUGAUCAAGAAACAAAGUGAUAGGUGGCUACACUUAUCUGAUCAGGGACAAGUGAUAAGUGAUCAUACAUAAGACCAUAGUUAUACUAUGGCAAAGUGAAAGUGAAGUACUCAAUUUUUCCGUGACCGUUCCCUAAUUUGAUUAAAGAUGGUAAGUGACAAAUGGGCCCAAAAGAAUUAAAGUAAAUGGAUAAGUGGUAGUGUAUUUAUAUCAGGACGAUGUUGUUAUUCAAACUAAAGUGAUAUUUUCAUUGCUAAAUUGAGAAUUUCAUAAAUGUGUUAUUGAAUGGUAUAAUCAAUAAACAUUGAGUUAAAUGGUAAAUACGUAUUAGUUUUGAAUUUGAUGUCAUUGAAUUGUACGUGAAUUAAAUGGAAAUUUCUAGUGAUAUGAUUUAAAUUAUGAGCAUGAGAAAUUGCGAAUUGAAUGAAAUGGAAAUGAAGCAUUAAAUUGCAUGAGUAUGUAUCGGGUCUCGCAGGCCCUAAUUAUUAUGAUUAUAAUAUUUUAAGGAUAUAUUGUGAAAAGUUAUAGAAACAUGUUAAUUAUUUUUGAAAGUUUUAAUUUUGAUGAAAUUUUAUAACUCGGUUAAAUACGUUUACAAGUGUAUGUGUUUUGGUAAUGCCUCGUACCCUAUUCCGGUGUUGGAUACGGGUAAGGGGUGUUACACGGUGAACCAAAAGUGAUAAUCGAGGUACCAUCUCUUUUCCCCUACAAGGACAAUAAAGCAGUACCAUGGAAAUACGACAUCAAUAUCGUCACACCUGAAGAUGAAAAACCCAAAGCCAUGACUGGAAGCGUUGGGGAAGUAGGUCAUUUCACUCGUAGUGGAAGAUGUUAUUCGAAAGAGGUCAAACCAGUGAAGAAGAACAGUGACUUGAAACAAAAAGGAAAAACACCGAUGCACGUGACCGAAGAUGAGCAUGAAACUGUGCCUAAACAAGAAGCUAAAAAGCCUAUGGACGAGGAGGAAGCACAGGAAUUCUUAAAAUUUAUCAAGCACAGUGAGUACAACAUGGUAGAACAAUUGAGUAAGCAGCCAGCACGAAUCUCGGUAUUAUCUCUGGUGAUAAAUUUAGAACCGCACCGGAACGCCUUAUUAAAGGUGUUGAAUCAAGCUUAUGUGGCAAACAAUAUAUCUGUUGAAAAGUUGGACAGGUGGGUGAAAAACUUGAACGCAAAUAAUUUCAUUUCUUUUAGUGAUGAUGAAAUACCACCCAAUGGUAGAAGCUCCGUGAAAGCAUUGCAUAUCACAACCCGCUGUAAGGGCUAUAUAAUACCGAACGUGCUCAUCGAUAAUGGAUCGACACUCAACGUUAUUCCUUUGGCCACACUUUCCAGGAUUUCAAUGGAUUUGUCCUAUCUAAGGCCUUACCAUUCUACAGUAAGGGCAUUCGAUGGAACAAGAUGAGAAGUCAUAGGAAAAAUCGAGAUCCCUCUAGAAGUGGGUCCCUACAUAUACGAUGUUGAAUUUCAAGUCAUGGACAUUACACCAUCAUACAAUUGUCUCUUGGGAAGACCUUGGAUCUAUUCUGCUGGAGCAGUCCCAUCAUCCUUCCAUCAAAAGGUGAAAUUUAUCAUUGAUGGCUAUUUGGUCACUGUCGAGGGAGAAGAAGACAUUGUAGCUUCUAUUUCUGCCGAUGCACCAUACAUUGAAGUGAGUAAAGAUGCUAUGGAAUGUUCCUUUCGAUCUCUUGAAUUUGUCAAUGCCACAUUCGUCGCUGAGGGAAACAGAAUUCUCGAGCCAAAACUGUCGAGAAAUACCAGGAUGGGUGUCAAGUUGACUGUAGGAAAGGGAGCCCGAGCAAGGAAAGGUUUGGAAAGGUACCUGCAAGGUAUAGUUAGGGCUCUAAAGCCAGUACACCACAGGGCCCAAUACGGUUUGGGGUUCCAGCCGGACAUGCGUCAAAGAAGAAAACAAUGGAAGAAAGAUCAGGAAAGAAGGAUCUCAAGAACCUUAAGCCGAGAAUUAGAAUGGGAGCCAAUAACGUACCCUCCUUUGUCAAAAACAUUUACAUCUGCAGAUAUGAUUUACCCCGGACAGGAUAAUACAUAAAGCACGCUGUUAUUAAUUGAAAGGGGGCUUCAGAAUACUAGUAUAAAUGUCAUUGACAAAGGAAAUGAGGCAAGUAAAGACGUUUCAACGAUACGCCAUUGUCCUCCUGGUUUCAUGUUGAACAAUUAGACUGUCGAGGACCUUCUUGUAGUUUAUAAGUCUUCAGAGUAAUGCUCAAACAAUAACCCUCUAUUGUGUCCUUAGAUAUAAUAGAAUUCUUUUGUAAGAGCUUGCAUUCGCUCUUUAUCAUUUAAAUGAAUAUCAAUGAAGAUGCAUUUUGUCACGACCUUUCGUGUUAUCACUAAUUUCAUAAUCAUUUUCUCAUUUCAUAGCCUAUCUGUACAUUUGCCUCAUGCCAUGCCAUAGCAUUUCAUUUGUUGGUUCCAAUACUUGGAUACCCCUCUAUAGUUUCCUCUUCCAUUCAACUUUCAGGUGCUCAGAUAUCAAUGGCAUGAACAAACCCGUUACGAGUCCUGAAAUCAAUUUUGAGAAGGCUAUUUGUUUAGGAGAAUUCGAAGCCGAAGAAAAUUCUGAAGACUAUGUCUCGUUUCAUGACUUGCUAAGAAUGGUGGAACAAGAGGAUAAACAGAUUUUGCCUCAUCAAGAAUCUGUUGAAACAAUAAAUUUGGGAACUGAAGAAAGGAAGCAAGAUGUGAAGAUUGGGACCUCCAUUUCAGGGGGUACAGGCAUAAUUUGAUUGCUUUGCUCCUCGAGUACAAAGAUGUAUUUACAUGGUCAUAUCAAGACAUGCCAGGAUUGGAUGAAGAUGUAGUGGUUCAUAAGCUCCCAUUAAAGCCAGAAUGCAAACUUAUUCAACAAAAGCUAAGACGAAUGAGACCUGAGAUGUUGUUGAAAAUAAAAGAGGAAGUCAAGAAGCAAUUUGAUGAUGGCUUCCUACAAGCCUCCAAAUAUCCAGAGUGGAUGACCAACGUAGUCCCGGUACCAAAGAAAGACGGCAAAGUACGAAUAUGCGUGGAUUAUCGUGACCUGAAUCGAGCAAGUCCUAAAGAUAAUUUCCCUUGCCACACAUUGAUACGUUGGUGGAUAACACAAUAAAGUAUUCAUUGUUUUCUUUCAUAGAUGGAUUAUCGAGGUAUAAUCAGAUCAAGAUGGCCCCCGAGGAUAUGGAGAAAACUACUUUCAUAACAAUGUGGGGAACAUUCUGCUACAAGGUAAUGCCGUUCGGAUUAAAGAAUGCUGGGGCAACAUAUUAGAGGGCUAUGGUGACAUUAUUCUAUGACAUGAUGCAUAAAGAAAUAGAGGUCUAUGUCGACGAUAUGAUUGCUAAAUCCCGAGGGGAAGAAGAGCAUGUAGUGAACCUGAAGAAGUUGUUCGACAGACUGAGAAAGUUCCAGCUAAAGCUUAAUCCGGCCAAAUGUAUGUUUGGGGCUACCUCAGGAAAAUGCUUGGCUUCAUUGUCAGAGAGAGAGGCAUUGAAGUUGAUCCAGAUAAAAUAAAAGCCAUUCAAGAGUUACCACCUCCGAGCACUCAAAAAGAGGUCAGAGGAUUUUUAGGGAGGUUGAACUACAUCGCUCGGUUCAUUGCUCAACUGACCAACCAGUGCGACCCAAUUUUUCGACUCCUCCGAAAACAUAAUCCUAGAGAAUGGAACGGGGAAUGCCAAGAGGCUUUUGACAAGAUAAAGCAGUAUUUUUCUAAUCCCCCGGUACUAGUACCGCCAAUUCCAGGCAGACCAUUAAUUUUGUAUUUGACAGUGUUCGAAAAUUCAAUGGGUUUCGUACUGGGGCAACAUGACGAGUCAGGAAAGAAAGAAAGGGCGAUCUACUACCUCAGCAAAAAGUUCACUGAAUAUGAGGCAAAGUAUUCGUCCAUAGAAAAAUACUAUUGCGCUCUGGUUUGGGUAGCUCGGAGACUCAGGCAAUAUAUGUUGUAUCAUACGACAUGGUUAAUUUAAAGCUAAAUCCAAUAAAGUACAUGAUGGAAUCACCUGCACUCUUAGGAAGAAUGGCACGAUGGCAGAUCUUACUGUCAGAAUAUGACAUCGUCUAUGUGAGCCAAAAGUCGAUAAAAGGAAGUGCAAUAGCUGACUUCUUGGCAACUCGAACAAUGGAGGAUUACGAGAAAUUGAGAUUUGAUUUCCCAGAUGAAGACUUGAUGUGCAUCACGAAAAAAGAAUGCGAGUCACCAAAAGAGAAGUCAUGGAAGAUGAGCUUUGAUGGUGCAUCGAAUGUAUUGGGGCACGGGAUUGGAGCAAUCUUAGUAUCACCAGAAGGGAACCAUUAUCCGUUCACUGCCAGGCUAAAUUUCUUCUGUACCAAUUGUACAUACCCAAUUUUGCCAAACCCAAAUACAUUUCAAACCCUUACUAACCCAAGCCUGUUUACAAUAUUUUCAGCCCAAUUAGCCUAACCCAAGUACUACUAGCCCAAUACCCUAAAUUAACCUAGCCCAACAGCCUAAAACAAAUCAGCAGAGAGGAAACCCUAAUUCCACUUGCCUCCCUACUUGCGCCGCACGCCCUUCUGCCCUUGGCUACCACGCCCCACUUUCCUCUAACACUAGCACCAUCCUUGGUAACUCCCAUACCGUCUGCCACCGCAUGCUCCACUUCCCUGACACCUCGAGACCCUGCAAAGACAGAAGCAGACCAAACAGAAUAGGACAAAAAUAUAAAUAAUAUUUUCCUAGUUUUGUAGUCGGCUAUAAAACCGAAAAAUAAACAUUUGUAAAAAGGGGGGAAUUCGAAAAAAGAGAAGCAAAUCUAACCACUUCGUAAUAACAAUAUCAGCAAUAGAUUCAAACAACAAAUUGUAUACAUCGAAUACAAAAAGCAGAGGAAAAUACAAAAAAGGGAAACAAGGAACGAAAAGAUAAAUCGGAAGGUGAUUUUGUUUCUUAUUUUUUCUUUAUUAUCUUCUUAAAUCCAUUUUUUCUCUUUUCUUCUUUUCUUCCUCAUUUCUAGCAUAUAUAUACACAUUUAUUCGAAAAAAAACAAAAAAAAAACAAAAAAAGUAAAUUUUUACGCGGUGGCCGGUGCCGGCGCCGGCGGACCUCCAGCGGCUGUCCGGUGACCGGCCCGUAGCCGGAGCUCCCUCCUCUCCCCUCUCUUCUUUCUUCCCUCUCCCUUUCUCUCUUUUUUUUUCUCUUCACGGUACAAAAUGAAUUUUUUUAAAAUUUUUUUUGACUUAUAUAGGGGUCCAAAACGCACCGUUUUGGACCCCCUCUGUUUAGACUAAAAACGACGCCGUUUUGGACACGGGUCUGGUCGACCCGACCCGCACCAGGUCAGAUCCGCGUGUUUUUUAAUUCAAUGGUAUAUUUGCGCAUUAGAUCCUUCCGCAUUUUCAGUGUUUUAAAUCAGGUUUAUUUUUGUUUAUAAUCUGGCCCUAAAAUUCAAUCUGACUUGCAAUCUACUCCCUGUUGAUGCGCUGCGUUUCGAUAGAACGGGAAUAUUACUAAUUCGUCCCCCAUGUUUCGCGCGUGUUGCAAUACGACCCCGUGGCUUAUUUUUAUUUUAGAUUUGGCCCCAAAACUUCGAUUUUAAUCCAAUUUUGGUCCUUUUUUCGUUUAUCUUUAAUUCUUAUUUAAAUUUUCUUGUAUUUUCAUAUUAUUAUUAUUAUUAUAUAUUUUUAUUAUAUGCACAUACAUAUAUGUAUUUAUGUUUAGUAUUUUAGCUACUUUAUUUUAAUAUUUAAAUGUUAUGCUUGCUUUUAUUAUUUUAAUAAUAUAUUAUUAUUAUCUUUAUUACAAUAGUGUAUAUUUUUAUUUGUGUGUAUAGAUUUAUAUAUAUAGUAUUUUUGUGUUACAUUGUUGUUCUUCGUAUUUUAAUGCCAUUACUAUUAUGGUUGUUAAUGUAGUGAUUGUGUUGUUGUAUGUAUACAUCUUUAUAUCGUCAUUGUUAUUAUCAUUAACCAUAGUAUAUAUUUUGUUAUAUAUGUACAUAUCUAUUUGUGCAUAGCAUUACUUUUUAAUUGCUUUAUUCUAAUAUUUCUAUAUCGAUUAUAUGUAUAUACAUUUAAUAUGCCUAUGUACUUAUCCAUGUAUUAUUAGCUGUUUGUUCCCUAUAUGUAUGCAUUAUGUAAAUAUUUUAAUAUUAUUUAACAUAUGUAUUUUCAUUUUAUAUGUUUUACAUACGUUUUUUAAUAUAUUAUACUUUAUAUAUUGUUAUGUAUAUUUUUAGUAUAUACAUAUAUUUGUGAAAUAUUAUCAACAGUUUUAUUAUUAUUUUUAAAUAAGUAUAUAUAUCGUGCACAUAUUUUAAUACUACAUUCUACAAAUUUUUGUAUUAUGUAGUUAUUCCAACAUUAUAUACUUAGUAUUUCUAAUAUCCUUAUCAUUUAUAUCUAUGAAUGUAUAUGUCUAUGUAGUAUAUUAGUAAGUCCAUUUUUAUAUUGUUGUUAUUUCUAAUAUAUAUGCAUAUAUCAUCUAUGUGUUAUAUAUAUUAUAUAUUUUCAAUAUUUUUGCAUUAUUGCCCUAUAUGUUAUUUACUUCAGCAUAUUUUUAAUUUUUCCAUUUAUUUAUUUUUAUUUCAUCUCAAUUUUGUUUUACAUUACUUCAAGAAUUUUAUCCAUGUCCUUCUAAUUAAUUUCAACAAUCAAGGCAAUAUACCGAUUUAACAUUAAGUCAUCGAGUUCAUCGCUAUGUUGGGUGAACGUCAAUUGACUCGUGUUAAAGCGAUAUACCCUUCUCAAAAACCGGAAUGAACUAAAAUUUCUCGUCUUCUUUUAAUUGGAUCACGACUAAAUUUUAAUAUUGAACUCGUAUUUUUAAAAAUCAAGACAACACGUGUUUAUGAGAUACCAAUUUCUGGGCGUCGCGAGGGUGCUAAUACCUUCCUCGCGCGUAACCGACUCCCGAGCCCUAAUUUUUCUCUGGUUUUUAACCUAGACCCUAAACUCAGCCUUCUUUUUGUUAAAAAAAAGAAAUCUAAUAGGUAUCCGAUCGUACCUAGGAAAAAGGAUCGGUGGCGACUCCCGGUUUAUUUUAAAAUCAAAUUUUAGCUUUCAAGUUUUCAAUAGAUCGCCUCAAUUAGCGACCGAAACCAAAUAAAUUUUUACAUCGCUACACCAAUAACAUAGCGGAAUAUGAGGCCUGUAUCAUGGGACUUCGUGCAGCAAUUGAACGAAACAUCCAAACUUUAGAGGUAUACGGAGACUCAGCAUUGGUGAUUUAUUAGAUUCGUGGAGAUUGGGAAGUGAGGGAUUCAAAAGUAGUCAAAUAUAGUGAUCUCGUGGCAGGGUUGAUUAAAGAAUUCAAAGAAAUAACUUUUAAUUACUUCCCACGAGAAGAAAACCAGUUAUCUGAUGCCCUGGCCACUUUGGCUUCAAUGUUUAAAGAAAACAGAGAAACAGAAAUAAUGCCUCUUCAAAUGGGCAUAUAUGAAGUCCCUGCACAUUGUUUCAGCAUUGAAAAAGAGCCAGAUGGACGGUCAUGGUUUCAUGAUAUCUUAGAAUACAUCAAGAAUCAAAGGUAUCCCGAGCAAGCAAAUGAGAACGACAAAAGAACAAUCAGAAGAAUGGCAACGGGAUUUGUUCUUGAUGGGGAUAUCCUGUAUAAAAGAGGAAAAGAUCAAGUGCUCUUGAGAUGCGUGGAUACUGUUGAAGCUAGGAAAAUACUUGAAGAUGUCCAUGAAGGAAUUUGUGGGACACAUGCCAAUGGUUUCACUAUGGCCAGGAAGAUUAUGAGACUCGGUUAUUACUGGCUGACGAUGGAAAGCGACUGCAUUAGUUUUGCAAGAAAAUUCCACAAAUGCCAAAUUUACGGCGAUAAAAUCCAUGUAGCCCCUUCGCCCCUUCAUGUCAUGACUUCUCCAUGGCCUUUUUCUAUGUGGGGCAUGGAUGUUAUAAGGCCAAUUUCCCCAAAAGCUUCUAAUGGACACCGGUUUAUCUUUGUGGUUAUUGAUUACUUCACAAAAUGGAUAGAAUCCGCUUCGUUUGCUAAUGUGACAAAGACUGCAGUUUGUAGGUUUUUGAAAAAAGAAAUCAUUUGUCGAUAUGGUUUGCUUGAAAGAAUCAUUUCAGAUAACGCCAUGAAUCUGAACAACAAGAUGAUGAAGGAAGUGUGUGAACAGUUUCAAAUAAAGCAUCAUAGCUUAUCACCCUAUCGCCCGAAAAUGAACGGAGCUGUUGAAGCGGCCAACAAGAAUAUUAAAAGGAUUAUUGGAAAAAUGACCGAGACAUAUAAAGAUUGGCACGAGAAGCUACCAUUUGCUUUGUACGCAUAUCGCAAAUCUGUGCGGACAUCUACGGGAGCAACUCCUUUCUCUCUGGUCUAUGGGAUGGAAGCUAUGCUACCUAUCGAGGUUGAGAUCCCCUCUUUACGAGUCUUAAUGGAAUCGAAACUAGAAGAAGCAGAAUGGGUUUGAGCUCGAUAUAACCAGUUAAAUCUUAUCGAAGAAAAACAUUUAAAGGCAAUUUGUCACAGACAGAUGUACCAGAAGAGAAUGAUCGCAGCCCAUGACAAGAAAGUACGGCCAAGAGAAUUCCACGAAGGAGAACUUGUGUUGAGAAAGAUUCUCCUAAUACAAAAAGACUUCCGAGGAAAAUGGGCACCAAAUUGGAAAGGACCAUACGUCGUAAAGAAAGCAUUCUCGGGUGGAGCUUUGAUUCUCACCGAGAUGGAUGGGAAGGAGUUACCGAAUUCAGUGAACUCAGACGCUGUGAAGAAAUAUUAUGCUUGAAAAAUGGAAAUCAAGAUGAAAACUUUAAAGGGCAUCUUAAAAAAAAAGGAUCAAGGUGAAAACCCGAAAAGGGCGUCUUGAUUAACACAAAAGAUUAGGAUGAAAACCCGAAAGGGCAUUCUAAUGAAGCAAACCCGAGCUUAAAGAAUAAGGCGGUCGAAUAGUAGGUCAAAUAGCAAGACUAUAGUGUUUGAAGCAUUUUUUGAAAGCUCGAAAUUUUCCACACGAGAAGCUAUACUCGAAAAGAUUCCUGAUUGAGGAACGUGAAAGAGUUCAUGCGUUGAAUAUCUGGAGCAUUCGUAUUCGUUGAAUGCGACCCCUCUUCUCUUUAUAACACUUGUUACUAUUAAUUUUCUUUGUUUGCUACAUUUGAAAUAAAUAAAUGUGAGGUAGCCUUUUUGCCCCUACCUAACUAUUUUCAUGCAUCUCAUUAUUUGUUUAUUUACAUGAUAAAUAGUGAAAUGACAUGCUCUAAACAAAAGAAAUGUUAAGCAUUACCCGGAUAAGAAUUUGAUUAGUACAAGAGCCUCAAAGUAAGGACAGAGUUCAACCAGGGACAAAAGGGUGAUAUUUGAGAAAUGUUGAUUACUCAUGGAGCUUGGAGACGGGUACGAGGCUUGAAGAGAAAGUCAGAAGUCAAAGCAAUGAACGCAGAUCAUGAAAACUCGUGGUGAAAAAGGACAUACGACAAACAUGCCUAAGGCGCAUAGCAUAAUCAUGUAGGCAUAAAGGCAUUUAAGACACAUGCGCAUAUCAUAAUAACAUCAUGCAUGACAUAUACAGGUACUUAAGUAGAGCAAAAGGAUGUGAUGAUAGUUGUACUGAAUCAAAGGAAAAGACACUUGAGUUCUACCAAAUGACAGGUUUUGGUAUUUUGAUGUUUUAUUUCUCUUCUCAGAAAUCAACUCAUAUUGCGAGAGGUGAGUUGAGCCUCAGGACACGCUGAGGUAAUUUUAAUUUCUGUCUUUAAUUUCUACUUUUCCAAAUCAACUCAUAUUACGAGAGGUGAGUUGAGCCUCAGUUCACACGCUGAGGUAAUUUCAAUUUCUGUCUUUAAUUUCUACUUUUCCAAAUUAACUCAUAUUGCGAGAGAUGAGUUGAGCCUCGGUUCACACGCUGAGGUAAUUUCAAUUUCUGUCUUUAAUUUCUAGUUUUCCAAAUCAACUCAUAUUGCAAGAAGUGAGUUGAGCCUUGGGCCACAUGCCGACGUAUUUUCAAAUUCUAUUUUUAAUUUCUACUUUUCAAAAAUCAACUCAUAUUGCGAGAAGUGAGUUAAGCCUCAGGACGCUGAGGUAUUUCCAAUUUCUGUUUUUAAUUUUUUUUUCAAAAAUCAACUCAUAUUGCGAGAGGUGAGUUGAGUCUUUUAAUUUUUGUUUUUUCAAAAUCUACAUUUCAAAUUAAGUUUCAAAAAAGACCAACUCAUAUUGCGAGAGGUGAGUUGAGCAUUGGCUUACGUGCUGAGCUAUUUUCAAGUUCUGUUUUAAUGUCUGUUUUUAAAGAAUCAAUUCAUAUUGCGAGAAAUGAGUUGAGCUCAAGAUCACAUGCCGAGUAAAGAAUAAAGAUUGGAGCUGACGGAAGACACUAGAUUUGGCCUCCCUGAAGUGGCAGUAAAGUAGGUCAAAGUUGCAAGUCUUGUCUCCCUGAAGUUGCAGUGGAGCUGAUCGAGGAUAUCAAAUGUUGCAUUUCUAAAGUUAUAGAAGAAAAGACCACAAACCCUAUCUCAGUGAAACGAUAGAAGAGUAAAUUGAAGCCGUAGAUCUUAUCUUUCUAAAAUUACAAGUGAAUCAGAUCGAAACCACAAAUCUCAUAUCCUUGAAGCUACAUUGGAAAAGAUCGAAGCUACAAGGCGUAUAUCAAAAGAUGCAGUGGAUUGAAUACAAAGCUACAAGAUGCGGUGGACUAAAAUGAGGUUACCUGGAGAAAAGAAGGGCACCAAAGAAGUCAAGACUCGGCAAAACCAGGCAAAAUUGGCUUUUCUCUAUGCCUUUGCUCUAUUCUCGUUACACGACAAUGAGCAAAGAGGGGCAGCUGUUACAAGCCAAUUUUUAACCCAAAUACCCCUAAACCCAUUUACAAUUUAAACCAAAAAAUUACCAGACCCAAUACAACUUAGCCCAACUAAAGCCUUAACCAUCUAACUACCCAUACAGCCCAAUACAAAACAACCCAAUUACAAUUAAACCCAAACUCAUAAAACACUAGCCCAAACCCGAAUGGCCCACUAAACCUAACCCUAAUCAGCUCCCACUUGUUUCUGCCCCCAACAACCCCUGAGCACCCCAGCGCCGCAAUGUCCCAUCGCCCAUGCUUCUGCCACCACCUGCUCCACCUUCGCCAACCACCACCUACACAUCAAACACGCAACAAUAGUAAGACAAUGUAACAAAACAGGCUAUAAAAGCCGAAUAGAAAACUGAAAAUAGGGUUCUUUUUCCCUUUCUUUUUUCUUUGUAAACAUCAACUAAAAAGAGAGUUUAAGAUUUCAAUAAACAUACAUAGGUCGUAUUUCAAACAAACAAAAGGGAUCUGGGAAUCAAAUCAGAUCAGAGGCAAAAGGUGACUCCUUUCUACGAGUAUUUUUCAUUCAAGCAUAUAUAUAUGGACCGGUGACCGGCACCCCGCCGGAAUCCCUCCCCUCUCCCUUCUCUCUCUUUUUCUCUUUCUUUUUUUUUCCUUUCCCCUCACAAAUGAUUUUUUUUCCUGAAAUUAGGCCUAUUUAUAGCCCCCCAAAACGGCGUCGUUUUGGAGGAUAUACUUAAGCCCCAAAACGACGUCGUUUUGGCCUUACCCGAUCCAACUCGACCCGUCCGGUCUAGGGUCUGCGUGUUUUUGAACAGAAGGGCUAAUUGCGCAUUUAGCCCUUCCGCCUUUUUUUAAUUUACAAUCAAGUUUUAAUUUACUUUAAUUUAGACCUAAAAGUUGUUGCGUAAUUCGAUUUAGUCCCUUUACUGUUGUGCGUUUUAAAAUAAUUCAGAAAAUUGCAUUUUUAGCCCCCUUAGUGUUGUCCGUGUUCAAAUAAGUCCCUCUCUUUGUUUUUAUUUUUAAAAUUACCCCAAAACUUUGUUUUUGUUUUAAAUUUAGUACUUUCUUCAUAUUUGAAUUUAUUUUCGUAUUGUCUUUAUUUUCUUUUUAUAUAUUAUUACUGUUAUUUUUAUAUUUAUUACUAAUAUAUAUUUAUUAUAGUUACUACUAUAUAUAUAUAUUACGUAUAUAUUAUUUAUAAUGUAUCUAUGUAAUAUAAUUACUAAGUUUUUUUAAACAUUAAAAGUAUUUAUAUUUGUAUAUUAUGUAAGUGUUCUAAUACUAUAUCAUAUAUACACAUGCAUUUUUCAUAUUAAUAUAUAUAUAUGUUUUUAAUAUUAUAUUAUUAUGUAUAUGUUUUAAUAUUAUUAGCUAUAUCUUUCAUACUAUUUUAUGUACAUUUCUAAUACCAUCAUAUAUUAUAACAUCAUUAUUAUUUAUAUAUAUGUACGUAUUUAUAUAGCGUAUGAAUAGUUUUUUUUAUUAUCAUUUCUAAUAUAAAUAUAUUUAUCAUAUAGGUUUAUAUACAUAUCAUACAUGUUUCUUUAUUUUUAUUUUUAUUAGUUAUAUAUAUUAUUACUAUUUUAUGUAUAUAUAUAUUUUUUAUCUUUAUUACUAUUGUUGUUAAUCUUAGUCUAUGUUUUACAUAUGUAUGUAUAUAUCUCUAGUAUAUAUAGGUAUAUAUCCAUGUAGUAUUGUAAUAGGUUUUUUUAUUAUUUCCAAUAUGUAUAUAUUAUGUAAAUAUUUUGAUGUUAUAUUAUAUAUGCAUUUUUUUAUAUAUUAUGUAUGUAUAUAUAUAUUUUCAAUAUUAUUAGUUUUUUUAUAUAUACUAUUCUAUGUACAUAUUUCCAUAUCACCUUAUAUAUAUAUUCCUAGAUACUAUUACAUGUAUAUGCAUGUUUUUAUUACCAUAUUGUGUAUAUUAUUAUUACAUUUAUUUUAUUCCUACUAUAUUUAUUAUUAAUAUUAGUACAUAUAUUCUAUAGUUUUUGUAUACAUUUUUUAUAUAUAGUGUUAUUUUCAUAUAUCCUUAUAGUUAUUGUAACGCCCCAAUUUUCGGGAAUUCUGUGAAUGUUGACAAAAUUUCAUGCUUUGAUUUUGUCAUUUGUGAGUGAAAUUAUGAAAUAGGACCUAUGUGAAAAUGUUUGAAAAUGCUAUAGGCUAAAUUGAAGUGGCCAAAUAAAUAGGAGUGCAAAAUAGGAGGAUUUGCAUGACAAACCUCCCAUUUUACAUGAAGUGGCCAGCCAUCAUGUUGUUGUAGACAAAAUGUCCACUUGAUAUCCAUAAUUUAUGGUACAAAUUGAUACAAAUUGAUAAUAGGUUAGGUAAAUGUUCCAUGAUAAUAGGUUAGGUAAAUGUUCCAUGAUAAUGGGUUAGUUAAAUGUUUCAUGAUAAUGGGUUAGGUAAAUGUUUCAUGAUAAGAAUUUCAUGUCUUUUGUAUUAAAGAAUUAAAUGGAUGAAAUAUGAAGUUUUAUUAAAAGAAAAAGGGGUGAAAAGAACAAAGUUUUGUCCAUCUUUGUUCAUCAUAGCUGAAAGUCAGAGAAGAGAAAUGAGAGGAGAAAGCUCUUGAGUAUUCGGUCAUUAGGAGGAGGAAAAUUGAAGGUAAGUUCUUGGUACCUUGCUUCUAUUUUAAGGUUCAUGAGUUCUUCUUGAUUCUACCUUAACUCUUGAAGUAUAUUUUGAUUUUUAGUUGUGUUUUGAGCAUUUAGUCAUGAAUUAAAAUGAAGGAAAUGGUUGUUGUUUCAUGUUCUUUUGAUGAAAAAAAUGGAAGAUAGGUGAAGUUGAGCCAAACAAAUGAGCAUGCAUGUGCCUUAGAUGUUAAAGGGAAAAAUCAGCUAACAUGUUGUGCUUUAAAAUGAUGAAAUGGAGAUUAUUCUUAAGUAAAAUCAUAGAUAUGUGAUGAUUGAUUGGUGAUAUACAUGUUUAAAUAACAUGCAUGCAAGGUAUGUGUGAAAGAGUGAUUUGGUAAUAAAUCUGCUUGGGACAGAAGCAGUAAUGUGACUUUGGAAAAUCACCAUAAAUUAUGGAAGAUGAAUUAGAAGCUGAAUAAAUUAUGUAAUUAAAGCUUAUUGAGUCUAGUUUCUAAUGAAAUAAACAAAAACAUAUUUUGAAUUCUGUACAAUGAGAAAUUUGAUUCGUAAUGAAGAGUGGUCAGAUUACUCAAACAGUGAAACAUGGGAAACUUUGAGAAAAAUCUGGUAUUGAUUUGCUAAACCAAAAAUUCUGAAAAUUUUAUGGAUAGAAGAUAUAUGAGUCUAUUUUCAGGGAAAAUUAACGGAACUUGAUUUGGAGUUUCGUAGCUCCAGUUAUAAAUAAUUUAGUGACUAUUGCUCAGGAAGACAGCUUGCAGUAAAAUUAUAAUUAUGUGGUAAACAUUGACAAAAAUUUGUUAAUGAGUUGCCUAUUGUUUUCUUAUAAGCUUACUAUGAUCUGUAGGUGUGGUUGGCCGAAUAUUGUAAGGGGUUAAUACGUAGUUUGUAUUUGAAUAGUUAGAUUAACGUGUUAGUAAUCCAAUUGUAGGCGGUUCGUGUGUGGAUUUCGUCAGCAUAUCGUCGCAAACAGGUGUGUAACUAACACCCUCUUUCUUAGUCUAGAUCGGCAAAAGUCGAAAAUCUGAAAUGCCGAAAACCGGUAUUUUGUAGAUUUGCGAGUGUGCGAAUGCUCGUGAGGUAAAUCGAUUAAUAUUUUUGGUAAGCUGCAAAAUUUGGACUGCAAAGUGCAUGAUUUCUGUGCCCUCGAUAUUUUUGGGCUUAAUGGGCCAAAAUUGGAAUGAUGGGCCAACGGGCCCAAUUCGGUAAGAACCCUCGGUAGUGAUUCUGUUAGUACGUGAAAGGUAGGAAUAUGCAUGAAAAACCCUAAAAUAGAUAAAUUACUGAAAUACCUUUAAAAGUGGAAAAUUUACAGUUUUACCCCUAGUAGAUAAAUUACCGAAAUACCCCUAGGGUUAAAUUGACCUAAAUGCAUGUUUGACUGUUGUUAUUUACUGCAUGCCAUGUUGUUAUUAUCUGAUGCAUGGGAUUGGGAUAUUGACGGAGGAAGUACUGAAAGUGGCUUGUCCACAUACUGGAGGCUUUGCCUCAAUUUACUGUUAACUGAGCAGCAAGGCUGCAACUGUGGAGUGUUGGGCUGGGUGGGUUGAGCUAUUCCCCACAUAGAGUGUAUGGCUGGUACGGGUGGAGUGUAGUGGUUGGUUGGUUGAGUAGUCUCCCCAAAUGGGCUUGCAUAUGUUAUUGAUGUUGCAUGUAUUUUGAAAUGGGCCUAUGGGCCAUAUUGUUAUCUGAAUAAGGGGCUAAGGCCCAGUUUAUUGUAAUCUGAAAAGGGCUCUGGCCCAGUACCACUGUUACCUGAAUGGGCUUAGGCCCAAUAGGCUUGAGCUAACUUGGGCUUUGAAUGGGUUUUCCUUACACACCGAGUUUCCCCAAACUCACCCCUUUUAUUUUCAUCCACGCAGGAAAUCCCCAACCAUAGUGGGCUUGGAGCUGUGAGGGAAUUCGGAGUGGCCACCCGUUCUGAAAGUUUGAUUUUCUUCUGGUGAACUGGACAUCCUUUUAUUUACGUUUGAAGUUUUGGGUUUUUAAAUGUAAUAAGGCCGCUUAAUUAUUUUUGAUGGUUUUUAAUAUGUAUUACUAAGAUAGGUAAUACUUAUUUUAACUGUUGAAAUUGGAUAGCUUUAGGGCGCGUUUUCAAAAACAACAGUUGAUUUCAAAAUAACACGACAACAAGCAAAGCUUCCGCAAUGAAAGUAUUUUUCAAAAUUAAUCACUUUUCUUAAAAAUGACUUAAUCGAAUCGGUUUCCUAGAAAUAUCCAUAACGUUAAGGUGUGGCAAUGGCGGUAUGCAUGUCUAGGAUUGGAUCCGAAGGGAGCUUGGUACUUAAGCAGUCCGAUGGACUCACCACCUCUUUUCCGGUUUCCUACCUGGUGCACAGCUUCCAUUCACUUUAACCCUUAAUGAAUUAAUCUUUUGAACAUCAAGUACAAUUUUCUGGACUUAGAAUGGAAUUUUUUUUUUACAUUUUUGAUGUGGCAUGCCGGAUCCGGCCAUAACUUCUGGGCCGGGUUUGGGGUGCUACAUUUAGUGGUAUCAGAGCCUAGGUUGCAACAACUCGGCUGUGGAAUGGGUUUACAAAAACAAAGAUUUUUGAAAACGAAAAUUUCAUAAAGAAUGCGAAAAACUCAAUUUUCAAAAUUUAGAUCUUUAGAAGGUGGCAUUCCGAAUCUCCGGCUCAAGUUUGUAAGUAUUACUCUGAACUUCUCUGAAUAUUUUUCUGAAUUAUUUGUCUGUACUAAAAUCCUGCUAGGAUACUCUAGAUAGAAUGAUACUGAAACCAUAGAAAAAUUUGAUAAGAGACUGAAACUGUAGCUAGACUUCGAUUCUGCGAAAACAAACUUUGAACUACUGUCUGAUUCAUAAAACAUCUGUAAUAAACACUGGAAUAUUAAUUAAUGCACAAAAAUUCGUAAUCGGAUAAUACGAUAUAAGUAUAAGAGCAGCUCGUGGAAAAAGCCGUGGACGGGGUCGAGGAAGUGUUCGAGCGAGAUCUUCGUCUUCGGGACAUAUGCCGGCGGUGGAUGCACCGGUACCACCGGCAACAGAGGUAGAGUCUCAUAACUGCGGUGCUGGGGAUGAUGCCCUGUCACAGGCAAUGCUUCGUGUUCUGGAAAGGGUUGCUGGGGCAAGUACGGGCAAUGGAGUUCGGAGAUCUAUUUCUGAACGACUUCGGGCUAACGGAGCGGAGUUCUUUAGGGGCGUGUCUGGUAUAGCCCCGAAUGUGGCGGAAUAUUGGUUGGAGGCCACAGAACGGAUUAUGGACAACUUGGACUGCUCUGAAGAGAUUGUGAGUGGGGUAUCUUUACUAAGUCCUUUGGGUCACUCGGUUAGGGUAGACAAACUGUAUAGGGAUGUACCCUUAGAAACUCAAGGUCGAAUUUUCCCUGGAGAUCUGAUGGAGUUACCGUUCGGAGAGUUUGAUCUCAUUUUGGGAAUGGACUGGCUUGUUAAGCAUAAGGCGACCCUGGAUUGUGCUGCUAAACGAAUGGUGUUAAGGACCACAAAGGAUGAGGAGGUUAUAGUGAUAGGUGAGCGAAGGGAUUAUUUGUCUAAUGUGGUGUUGGCUUUAAGAGCCGAAAAGUGGAUUCAGAAAGGUUGUGAGGCCUAUUUGGCAUUUGUAAGUCAGUCAGAAGAGGUGGGAUUGACAGUGGAUAAGGUUAGGACCGUAAAGGAGUUCCAAGAUGCUUUUCCGGAGGAGCUUCCAGGAUUGCCUUCGAACCGAGAAGUUGAGUUUGGAAUAGAUUUAUUGCCUGGAACGGUGCCCGUGUCCAUCGCACCGUAUAGGAUGGCACUGAAUGAGUUAGUGGAGUUAAAGGCUCAAAUUCAAGAGUUGUUAGAUAGGGGCUUCAUUAGGCCAAGCGUGUCUCCAUGGGGAGCACCGGUGCUAUUCGUGAAAAAGAAGGAUGGUAUGAUGUGGAUGUGCAUCGAUUACCGCCAUUUGAACAAACUGACGAUAAAGAAUAAGUAUCCACUGCCAAGGAUUGAUGAUCUGUUCGACCAGCUUAGAGGAGCUUCUGUAUUUUCCAAGAUCGACCUUCGAUCUGAAUAUCAUCAGUUAAGGGAGAAGGAAAUAUUUGUGAAGUUCAGCAAGUCUGAACUUUGGUUGAGGGAGGUAACCUUCUUAGGACAUGCGGUCUCUAUUGAGGGGAUUAAGGUGGACCCUUGGAAAAUUGAAGCGAUUUUGGAGUGGAAGCCGCCUAGGUCAGUGUCGAAAAUACGGAGUUUCCUAGGAUUGGCAGGAUACUACAGAAGGUUUGUGGAAGGUUUUUCUGUGAUGGCAGCACCUCUGAGAAAACUCAUAAGGAAAGGGGUACCGUUUGUAUGGACUGAGACCCAGCAGGAGGCUUUUGAGAAGUUGAAGAAAGUUCUGACUGAAGCACCUGUAUUAAUUCAGCCGGAGUCUGGGAAGGAUUUUACUGUGUACAGUGACGCAUCACACGUGGGUUUGGGCUGCGUGUUAAUGCAAGAGGGUAAGGUGGUUGCAUAUGCAUCACGAUAGCUUAAGCCUCAUGAGGGAAACUAUUUGACUCAUGAUUUAGAGUUGGCAGUAGUGAUAUUUGCACUUAAGAUUUGGAGACAUUACUUGUACGGAGAAAGGUGUAUUAUAUACACUGACCAUAAGAGUCUUAAGUAUUUGUUGACUCAGAAGGAGCUGAACCUUAGGCAAAGGAGAUGGAUUGAGUUGCUUAAGGAUUAUGACUGUUCGAUCGAGUAUCACCCAAGCAAGGCUAAUGUGGUAGCCGAUGCUCUAAGUCGUAGAGCUGUAUCUGAUCUGAGAGCAAUGUUUGCUCGUCUGAGUCUGUAUGAUGAUGGAAGUCUGUUGGCUGAGUUGCAAGUGAGGCCAACCUGGGUGGAUCAGAUUAAGGAAAAAAAGUUGAAAGAUGAGUCUUUGGUCGCUCGUUUUCAACAAGUUAAGGAAGGGGAAACUUCUGAGUUUGGGAGCCAGAAGAGACGAUGCAACAGCAAUACCCUCAUCUGUUUGGAUUAGGUAAAUUUUGAGGACGAAAUUUCUUUAAGGAGGGUAGAGUUGUAACGCCCCAAUUUUCGGGAAUUCUGUGAAUGUUGACAAAAUUUCAUGCUUUGAUUUUGUCAUUUGUGAGUGAAAUUAUGAAAUAGGACCUAUGUGAAAAUGUUUGAAAAUGCUAUAGGCUAAAUUGAAGUGGCCAAAUAAAUAGGAGUGCAAAAUAGGAGGAUUUGCAUUACAAACCUCUCAUUUUACAUGAAGUGGCCAGCCAUCAUGUUGUUGUAGACUAAAUGUACACUUGAUAUCCAUAAUUUAUGGUACAAAUUGAUACAAAUUGAUAAUAGGUUAGGUAAAUGUUCCAUGAUAAUAGGUUAGGUAAAUGUUCCAUGAUAAUGGGUUAGGUAAAUGUUCCAUGAUAAUGGGUUAGAUAAGAAUUUCAUGUCUUUUGUAUUAAAGAAUUAAAUGGAUGAAAUAUGAAGUUUUAUUAAAAGAAAAAAGGGUGAAAAGAACAAAGUUUUGUCUAUCUUUGUUCAUCAUAGCUGAAAGUUAGAGAAGAGAAAUGAGAGGAGAAAGCUCUUGAGUAUUCGGUCAUUAGGAGAAGGAAAAUUGAAGGUAAGUUCUUGGUACCUUGCUUCUAUUUUGAGGUUCAUGAGUUCUUCUUGAUUCUACCUUAACUCUUGAAGUAUAUUUUAAUUUUUAGUUGUGUUGUGAGCAUUUAGUCAUGAAUUAAAAUAAAGGAAAUGGUUGUUUCAUGUUCUUUUGAUGAAAAAAAUGGAAGAUAGGUGAAGUUGAGCCAAACAAAUGAGCAUGCAUGUGCCUUAGAUGUUAAAGGGAAAAAUCAGCUAACAUGUUGUGCUUUAAAAUGAUGAAAUAGAGAUUAUUCUUAAGUAAAAUCAUAGAUAUGUGAUGAUUAUUGGUGAUAUACAUGUUUAAAUAACAUGCAUGCAAGGUAUGUGUGAAAGAGUGAUUUGGUAAUAAAUCUGCUUGGGACAGCAGCAGUAACGUGACUUUGGAAAAUCACCAUAAAUUGUGGGAGAUGAAUUAGAAGCUGAAUAAAUUAUGUAAUUAAAGCUUAUUGAGUCUAGUUUCUAAUGAAAUAAACAAAAACAUAUUUUGAAUUCUGUACAAUGAGAAAUUUGAUUCGUAAUGAAGAGUGGUCAGAUUACUCAAACAAUGAAACAUGGGAAACUUUGAGAAAAAUCUGGUAUUGAUUUGCUAAACCAAAAAUUCUGAAAAUUUUAUGGAUAGAAGAUAUAUGAGUCUAUUUUCAGGGAAAAUUAACGGAACUUGAUUUGGAGUUUCGUAGCUCCAGUUAUAAAUAAUUUAGUGACUAUUGCUCAGGAAGACAGCUUGCAGUAAAAUUAUAAUUAUGUGGUAAACAUUGACAAAAAUUUGUUAAUGAGUUGCUUAUUGUUUUCUUAUAAGCUUACUAUGAUCUGUAGGUGUGGUUGGCCGAAUAUUGUAAGGGGUUAAUACGUAGUUUGUAUUUGAAUAGUUAGAUUAACGUGUUAGUAAUCCAAUUGUAGGCGGUUCUUGUGUGGAUUUCGUCAGCAUAUCGUCGCAAACAGGUGUGUAACUAACACCCUCUUUCUUAGUCUAGAUCGGCAAAAGUCGAAAAUCUGAAAUGCCGAAAACUGGUAUUUUGUAGAUUUGCGAGUGUGCGAAUGCUCGUGAGGUAAAUCGAUUAAUGUUUUUGGUAAGCUGCAAAAUUUGGACUGCAAAGUGCAUGAUUUCUGUGCCCUCGAUAUUUUUGGGCUUACUGGGCCAAAAUUGGAAUGAUGGGCCAACGGGCCCAAUUCGGUAAGAACCCUCGGUAGUGAUUCUGUUAGUACGUGAAAGGUAGGAAUAUGCAUGAAAAACCCUAAAAUAGAUAAAUUACUGAAAUACCUUUAAAAGUGGAAAAUUUAUAGUUUUACCCCUAGUAGAUAAAUUACCGAAAUACCCCUAGGGUUAAAUUGACCUAAAUGCAUGUUUAACUGUUGUUAUUUACUGCAUGCCAUGUUGUUAUUGUCUGAUACAUGGGAUUGGGAUAUUGGCGGAGGAAGUACUGAAAGUGGCUUGUCCACACACUGGAGGCUUUGCCUCAAUUUACUGUUAACUGAGCAGCAAGGCUGCAACUGUGGAGUGUUGGGCUGGGUGGGUUGAGCUAUUCCCCACAUGGAGUGUAUGGCUGGUACGGGUGGAGUGUAGUGUUUGGUUGGUUGAGUAGUCUCCCCAAAUGGGCUUGCAUAUGUUAUUGAUGUUGCAUGUAUUUUGAAAUGGGCCUAUGGGCCAUAUUGUUAUCUGAAUAAGGGGCUAAGGCCCAGUUUAUUGUAAUCUGAAAAGGGCUCUGGCCCAGUACCACUGUUGCCUGAAUGGGCUUAGGCCCAAUAGGCUUGAGCUAACUUGGGCUUUGAAUGGUUUUCCUUACACAUUGAGUUUCCCCAAACUCACCCCUUUUAUUUUCAUCCACGCAGGAAAUCCCCAACCAUAGUGGGCUUGGAGCUGUGAGGGAAUUCGGAGUGGCCACCCGUUCUGAAAGUUUGAUUUUCUUCUGGUGAACUGGACAUCCUUUUAUUUACGUUUGAAGUUUUGGGUUUUUAAAUGUAAUAAGGCCGCUUAAUUAUUUUUGAUGGUUUUUAAUAUGUAUUACUAAGAUAGGUAAUACUUAUUUUAACUGUUGAAAUUGGAUAGCUUUAGGGCGCGUUUUCAAAAACAACAGUUGAUUUCAAAAUAACACGACAACAAGCAAAGCUUCCGCAAUGAAAGUAUUUUCCAAAAUUAAUCACUUUUCCUAAAAAUGACUUAAUCGAAUCGGUUUCCUAGAAAUAUCCAUGACGUUAAGGUGUGGCAAUGGCGGUAUGCAUGUCUAGGAUUGGAUCCGAAGGGAGCUUGGUACUUAAGCAGUCCGAUGGACUCACCACCUCUUUUCCGGUUUCCUACCUGGUGCACAGCUUCCAUUCACUUUAACCCUUAAUGAAUUAAUCUUUUGAACAUCAAGUACGAUUUUCUGGACUUAGAAUGGAAAUUUUUUUUUACGUUUUUGAUGUGGCAUGCCGGAUCCGGCCAUAACUUCUGGGCCGGGUUUGGGGUGCUACAGUUAUUACUAUACUUAUUAUUUUAUUCUAAUGUUAUUAUGUAUUCAUUUUAAAAUAUAUAUACAUGUAUUUAUAUAGUAUUAUCAAUGUAUAUAAUUUUCUUUAUGUUAUUAGUAUUUAUAAUGUACUUUGUACAUAUUCAUUAUAUAUUAUAUAGGUAUGCAUUAUGCGUGUAUUUUAAUGUUACUAUGUACAUACAUCUUUCAAGAUUUAAAUUUUUUUAUACAUCAUGUAUAUAUUGACUAUAUAAGUAGUAUAUAUAUAUUUUGACUAUUUCAUGUAUAUAUUUCGAAUAUUAUGUAUAGUAUAUUUCUGACACUACUACUAUUCACAUAUAUAUAUUGGCGUGCAUAUUCUUAAUACCGUUAUUAUUAUAUAUAUUCAUUGUUUUCUCGUAUUUGAUACUAUUAUUACGUUUAAUCUCGCAUGCAUUGUUAUUGUUUUUUUUUUCAUUAUUGUCAUAUUCAUUGUUCGCUUCCAUAUAUUUCUGGCUCUUUUAUUUAUUUUUAUUUCACAUCAAUUUGCUUUGCAUUAUUUCGAAAAUCUUAUUCUUGUUUUUAAUAAGUGAGGCAAUGUAUUGAUUUAACAUUAAACCGUAAGUUUCAUCGCUAUGUUGGAUGAAUUUGUCGGCUCAUGUUAAAAUGGUAUAUCCUUCUCAAAAAUCGAAAACUAAAAUUUCAUGUCUUUUCAAUUGGAUCGCAACUAAAUGUUACAUUGAAUUCGUAUUUUUGAAAAUCAAGACGACACAUGUUUAUGAGAUACCAAUUUUGGGCGUCACGAGGGUGCUAAUACCUUCCUCGCGCGUAACCGACUCCCGAACCCUACUUUUUCUCUGCAUUUUAACGUAGACCUAAACUCGGCCUUCUUUUUGUUUUAAAAAUAAAAGAAUCUAAUAGGUGUCCGAUCACACCCUAAAAAAAAAGAUCGGUGGCGACUCCCUGUUUAUUUUAAAAUCAAAUUUCAGUUUUCAAGUUUUCAAUAGAUUGCCACAAUUAGCAACCAAGUAAAACUAAAUUUUUACGUCGCUACAUCCAAAACCCUUUAAUGAACUUGCAUCCAAAAAAAAGAUGUUCCACUUUCUCUGGUUCUCUAUUACACCAAGGACAACUCCUCUCUAAAUUGCUAAAAUGCAAACCUCUUCUACUCAAGAAAUCUUUAGUAGGGAGUCUAACAAUUGAGAUCAUCCAAAGAAAACUUCUCACUCUAGGAGGCACCUUCAACUUCCAAAUCUUAUCAAAAUUAAAACUCAAGUCUUCCACUCCCUCCUCAAUUAAUAAUUCCGAUAAUUUUUUUCACCGAGAACACCCCCUUAUUAUCAUGGACCCAAAUCAAUCAAUCCUCCACAUCCGGCACCAACACCUUCUUGCAAAAAAUUUCCUUUAAUCGAUUAAGCAAAACUAGCUCCCUAUCCAAUAAUGGUCGAACAAAAAAAUCCAACCAAUUAACCUCCUUAAAUCCAUUUAGGAGCGAAUAAUCUUCCACCAAUCCAUACUUAAUUUUUGCUAACCGAAAUAGCCUUGGAAAUUCCACUCUCAAAGGUCGGGUGUGAUAGAUUAACUAUUGUGUAUAUAUAAAUGUAGAUUAAAGUUAUUGGGAGGUCACUGUAUUAUAAGGAUUGAAUCAAAUUAGUCCCUCUAGUAUUAAAUGGAUAAUUUUAGUCCUUAUACUACUAAAAAGAAUCAAAUAAGUCCAAAUUAUAACAGAGUUAAUAUUUACCGUAUAAAAAUGUAUUGAAUUCUUUUUUCAAUUGCAGUUCUAUUCCAAACCAAAAAUUUCAUUUACAGAACCAUAAAAACUUUAAAAAUAUUAACUUUGCUAAACAAUAAAUAAUAUUUUUAAAUAAUAAAUGUUAAAUCUAUUCCAAAUUGAUCUUAUAAUUUGAUUAUUUUAAUACUACAAGGGCUAAAUUGAUCUAUUUAAUAAUAGAAGGACUAAUUUGAUUAGAUACCAAUAAUAGAGGGACCUCUUAGGUACAUUCACCUAUAUAUAUUUUUAUACAUAUAAUGUGAACAGUUUUCUGCCCUAUACGUAAAGUUGCAUGCAUUUCGCAUUUUUAUUUUCGUUUGCUAUAAACCCUAAAUUCAAGUCUUAAAUCCAUUAUUUCCACCUUUUUUCAGGGUUAUCAACUACUCUAUUUGAGCUUCCUUUAAUCUUUCUUUUAUUAAAAAAAAAAGAUUAAUUUUUCAUCGAUCGGUUUCUUCAAUGGCCGCCGCUUCAUCUCUGAGCUCUCUACUGGUUUCUUCCAUGGCACUCACCUCUCCCAUCUUUCAAUCUCAUUGCCUCAAUAACACCACUUGCAAGAGAGGUAUUGAUAUUAUUUGUUUUCGUAAAUUACUCGAAAUUUUUUUUCUUUCAAAUCCUAUAAUUUAGCUUGGUUUCGACAGAAUUGACCUCAAGCAAACCAAGCUAUCGAAAGGUUGAAUUUGAAUAUCUUAAUGUUUGAUUCGAGUAGUUUUAAGGGUACUUUAGUUUGAUAACUUAACAAUCCAGUGAUUUGAGUAAAAAAUUUCGAAUGAUUAUAACUUUUUAAAGUUAAGUGAUUAAAAUGUAAACUUACGAAAAAAAAUUUAUUUGAUACUUGAAUUUGAUCUUACGAGAAUUGAACUAAUUAAUCUUUUAUUAAAUAAACAAAUUUAAUUGAGUUUAAUUAAAUAAUUAAGUUUAGCCGAUUGAAUGUUAGCUCAAUUGGCAUGGAUAUUAUUGUCAAUACAAGAAGACGUGGGUUCGAGCACGUUAAAGCUCAUUAUCCUCCUAUUUAUAGGUUAAGGAGAGAUUGUUUCUAAUCAUUAUUUUAAUUCAAACUUAAAAUUUAAAAUAAAACUCGAUUUAAUCCAACCCGAUAAGCAUGUAAUUUCAAAAGUUUCAAUUCCUAACAGGUUUUUUUCCUUUUAGGUACAACAAUGGCGGUUUCCUUACAGACUGCAAACAAACCAGUGAUACACCAAGAAAAGCCGACAAACAAGCGGCGGUGUGUCGUUGUGACGGGGAUUGGCCUUGUAACGGCGCUCGGUGAGGAUCCGGACGUGUUCUACAACAAUGUUCUUCAAGGCAUUAGUGGCAUAACAGAGAUUGAAAAAUUCGACACUUCUCAGCUUCCAUCUGUAAGUUCUUAGCGAUCAGAAAUUGAAUCAUAACUUAUCAAUUUUCUUUAAAUGUCUGAAAGUUUUGAUCCAACAUUAAACUCUUAGUUGAUUUUUUUGGCUAAUUGACAAAAUUUGAGAUUUAUUCCCUAAUAACAUAUGCCAAGGGUAGCAUAAUUAAAUUAAAUUUUUUAUGAUAAUCAGAAUGCAAUUUUUCAUUAUAAGCUUAAAAUUGUAUAAUUUUUAGAAAGACUACAUCACAAUUUUAUUAUUUUAGGGGUUAAAAUUGUAAUUUUAUCAUAUAUUAAUAUAUAACCUUUUUAAAUUUUAAACGGUUAAAAUAAAAAAAUUUCAUCUUAGAGGGUUAAACACACUGCAUACCCUCUAGUGCAGCCCAUGCGCCAAAGGCAAAUAAGGACAUUGGUCUAAGAAAUGGUGAAGUUAUAGUUUAAUCCUUUUAAAAAUUUAUAAAAUUAUAAGUUAAAAUAAUAAUAAAAUUGCAUUAUUGGACCUUCCCAAAAGUUUAUAAAUCAAAUUUAUUUUUUAAGAACAGUUUUGGCUUCCCACUCGCCAUGUCACAUAUAUAUGAUCUGUUAAUAAACAUAUCAAAUUGGAGUCAACAAUUCGAUUAGGAUUUUUAAAUUGAAAAUGUAAAAAUUUAAUUUUUAACUUUUUAAAUACAAUGACUAAAACUCAAUUUUUGUAAAAGUAUAGGGACUAAUGACAUAUUUUGAUUAUUUUAUUUAUUAAAAAAACAGAAAAUUGGUGCUGAGCUUAAGUCAUUCUCCCCGGAAGGUUUUGUUUCAUCAAAGCUUGCAAUGAGAGCUGAUAACUUUAUGCUUUACCUUAUAACCGCCGGCAAAAAAGCCUUGGCCGACGGCGGGAUUUCCGAUGAAGUCAAUGGACAGCUUGAUAAAACUCGAUGUGGGAUUAUUGUUGGCUCUGCAAUGGGAGGUUUAAGGGUAAACACGAUUCAAUUCUUUUAUAUAUGUAUAUAUAUAUAUACAUAUAUACAUAUAUAUAUAUGUAUAUAUUAUUUUUCAUAGUUAGAAUGGUCAAAGGGUUAAGCUAUAUUUUAAAAUCGAAAAAUCGUAAAAUAUUUGAAAGUGUUUGAAAAAAAAUAUUAAGUUUGAAAAUGAGUUACAUUAAAAAUUUUAUGUCUGUUUAAAUAAGAGAGUCCGACUUGAUCUCUAAUAUUUAAAGUUUAAACAAGAUAAAUAAUGUUAUAAUAUAUUAUUUAUAAAUAUGACUAAUUUAUAUAUUAGAUUUAAAAUUUUAAUAAAGUAAGAAUAAAAUUAUAAGAUAUUAAAUAAAGUUAAUAUUUUUAAAAAAUGUGUAUGGCCUAAAAUGGAUUAGGUUAUAACCAUUAAUUUACAAAUAUUUUCUUAAAAUUCAAAAAAUUUUGAGAACUCAUAUAUCAGGUUGAGUCAAGUUAGGCUUGAACAAACAUGAAUGGUGAUGAUACCAUACAUAUAAGCUUGACCUAAACUACAAUUAGCUUGAUCAUAGAUACCUUUAUUUAUAAUUAAAUUAAUAAAAUAAACUAAGAUGAUUUUAUUAUUAGAUGGUAAUCUAGGUAGAAUCGAACUUACUCAAAUUAAGAAAAAAAACUUAAUCCAAAACUCGAUCCACGGAUAGCUCGACCCUUAGAUAAAUCUACUUCACCAAGAUCAGUUGGUGCCGAUAGUACUCGAAAACUAAAGAUCAACAGUGUCCUAAUUGGUGUCAAUGGUGCUCGAGCACCAACUUGGAUGAUGUUGUGAUGGUGCUAGAACAUAGUUGGUCCCAAAUGGUAAGAGUAUAUUUUAUCAGUCAAAUAGUUGUGUUUGAUACAUAUUUAAACACCAAUAUAAAAAAAAAUUAAAACUAUUGAAUAUAUUCAUAUAUAUAUAUAUAUAUUACAAAACUUAUAUCCGACACUCAGACUCAAUUAAGAGUAAAGAAUUUUUUCUUCUAAUUCUCUCUAAUUGUGAAUUUUGUGGAUAUUUUUGAAACAGAUUUUCUACGAAUGGUUUGAAAAUAUGUUAAUUCUUUCAAGGAGGCCAAAUCCAUUUAGUGUGCCUAUGGCAGGAAACAACAUGGGUUGCGCAGCACUAGCAAUUGAAUUGGUACCUACACCACUCAUUCAAAUCAUAAUAAUAGUAAUUGAAAAUCGAUUAAAGGUUUGAGGAAAAGAGUUGAUUUUAUUGGGAGAAGUAUUUGAAUGAAUAAUUAGUUGAGAGUUUAUAAAUUUUUUAAUGGGUUGGUAUUAUUUGUCUCCCGACUUUGCUUAAGGCUCAAGUGCUUGAACAGAUGACAAAGUUCAAAGAGUUUAAGGGUCUUAUAUGCUCUAGAAGGUAAAUUUAUUAGUAUAUUUAUCCCACAAUGCCCUAUACGUUAUAGGACAUUGGUUUAAAUCCCUCCAAGCGAAAAUAUGAGAUUUUCUUGAUGAGUGGUUCUCCUUCAUAGGCACUUAGACAAGGUGCUUGUGUUUUAUAAACUCAUUAGUUUCUUCAUGUAACCUCUUUAGGCACUUGGGCUCUAUGUUGAGUCCAGAGACAAAACUCUCACCAAAAAUAAUACCAACCCAUUGAUGGGUCUCACAGUUUUUGACGAACAACAUUUCACAGGCUUUUUCUAAUGGAGUUGGCCUUCUCUCAACAAAUUUAUUUUAAUUUUUAUUGAAUUAAAUAUAAUUAAUAUAUAAUUAGUUAACAUCAGAUCAAAUUUUAUUUUAAUUUUAUUUUUUUUAUAUAUUUUUUAAAAAAUUAAAUCACAGGGUUGGAUGGGUCCAAACUACAUAAUUAACGCAGGUUGUGCAACAAGCAAUCAUUGUAUACUUAGUGCAGCUGGUCACAUUAUUGAUGGAAUAACUGUGAGUCACUCAUUUCUAUAUCUUAAUUUAUGGAUGUUAAAGGGGUUUAUGAGUCCGGUCAGGUUUACGAUGAAUCUAUAUAUGAUAUGAUUAUCGAAUUUUAAAAAGUGUUAAGUUUAAUUUAUAUAUGGUAUUAACACAAUAUUAUUCACUAAACUGGACUUGAUCUCGAUUAUAGGUUUUAAAUAUGAUCUAAACUUAUUAAUAUUUGUUAAUUAUUAAUCCAAAAUUGUUCAGGCUUAAUCUUUUAAAAAGUCCAACUUGUUUUAUUUAACUAUAUACAAAUUAACACAUUUUUAAAUAUUUAUAUUAUAUUAAUAAGUAUUUAAUUUUUAGAUGAUAUAAAUUGCAUAAUAUGUAAAAAAAAAUAAUAUACUAUACAAUUAAAAAACAAAAUAAGCUAAAUCUCGACCUUGAAUAUUAGAACCCUAGCUCGAUUCAUCUUUUAAAUUGACUUAAAAAUAUUAUAUAUAUAUAUAUAUAUUAAUAUAGCUUUAAGGGUUAACAAAGUUUUAGUACUUGGAAAAAAUCAAUGAAGAAAAAUACUUUUGAUUAUGCUUUCAAACAUUAAAAAUACAUUGAUUUAGUUUUUUUUUUGCCAAUAAUUUUGGUUGUUUAUUAUUACAGUGUUGAUGUGUUCAUUAAUAAUUGUUGAGUUAAUCGUUGUGAUGAUAAUGUGAUGGCCUGUGUCAGUAAAAUUAGGAAAAUAUACAAAUUAUUUUAACAAAUUUAAAGAGUUGAGAUUAAAUUAUAUAUUUUUAUAAGAAUUAAAAUUUAAUUUUACCUUAUCUUAUAUUUUUAUGGUUUUUAAAAAGACUCAAUUAUAAUUCUCGUAUUUUUAAAAGAUCAAAUUAUAUUUUACUUAAAAUUUUAUAUUUUUUAAAGAUAAAAUCACCUCCUCCCUUCGCGACUAACAGGUCGUUGAGAAAAUCACUUUCAAAUAUCCCAAAACCUAUAAUAAUAAUAAAAAGAUUUACCUGUUGUGAAAUGAAAGAAAAGUAAGAACCACCGUUUCUCUUUUUAAAUAUUUUUAUAAUGUUUUAUAAUUUAACGAACUAUGUUCAAAAUGAAUAUGGACAAAGCAAUGUCUGGAUUCAAAUGUACUUGAAUUUCUAUUUAUUCAAAUUCAUUUUAAACUUGAAAUUUUAAUGAUUUUUUUCAUUUUUGCUAACAUGAAAUAACGCUAAGAUCACAACGGUAGACUCAACAGUCAUUAAUAGUCAUGUUAGUACAAUAAUAGUCAACAACAAAAAUUAAUCAAAGAGCUGAAUUGAUUGAUUUUUUGAAAAAACACAAAAACUUUUUUUAACUCUUAAACCUAUUUAAAUUAAUAUUUAUAAUUAAAUUUUAAAUAAAUAUUUAUUAAUUAUUAAAUAGUAAUUUAGACGGAUUCAAUUUUCUAAACUUCUCUUUUUGUUUUAUAUGUACUUCUUUGAUAUUAUAUUUGACGUAGGGGCGAAGUUAGAAAAUUUUUUUUAGGAGGUCGAAAUUAAAAUUUUAUUAUUUUAAUAGAUUAUCUUUAUAAUUUUUAAAAGAUUAAAUCAAUUUUUUUAUCAUUUUCAGAAAGGAUAAAAUGUAAUUUUACUUUUAUAAUUUAAAAUUUAAAAAUUUUUAAAGAAUUUAAUUGAAAAAAAUAUCAUUUUAGGGUGGCCAAAGGCGCUAUCAGCACUGCUAGCUACAUCCUUGACCCAAUAUAUUUAAACAUAAGUACAAAAAUUAAUAUUUAAAUAUAUGUAAAUCAUUUAAAAUUGGACCUAUUUAUGUUAGAUCAAGUAUCUGUAUCCAAUACUAUAAGAUGAUUUUGCAGGACAUGAUGCUUUGUGGUGGUUCCGAUGCCGGAGUUCAUCCAAUAGGUAUACUUAUAUAUACCUUAUGUUAGACUGGGGAAGCCAAAAAUCCAUUUUAGGGGUAAAUUUUAAAUUAUGAAUUUUUGAAGGAAUAAAAUAUAAUUUUACUAUUACAUUUAAUUUAUAAUUUUAUUUUUAAAAUUUUAAGACUUAAAAUAAUUUUAUCAUUUUAGAGAGUCAAUGUCUACUCGCCAGUUCUACUUAAGCAUGAAUGGAUAUAGGUACAUAUAUGAAUACGAGUGUUUUUAGUUUUAUUUUCAAGUCUUUUUAUGCCUUGACUUCCUCUAAAAUGAUAAGUUUACAGUUUAUUCUCUCUAAAAACUUUCAAAUUAUAAACUAAUAUAACAAAAAAUUAUGUUUUUACUCUUAAAAUUUAAUUUUAAUCUAAAAAUUCCUGGUUUCAUCCGUGUCCUAAUACUUAAAUCUAUUUCAAACAUAAAUAUCAUAUACAAAUACUUAGAAAUAAAACUGAAAAAUCAGAUUAAGGUAAAAGUACAAUAGAGGUCCUUAUACUAGAAGUCAAAUUGUAUUUUGCCCUAUUUACUCAAAAAUUAGACAAAUUAGUCUUUGUAUAUUAGAUCAAAGCUAAUUGAUUCUUUCUGUUAAAAAUUUCAUCAAUUUGUACGAUUAAAAACCAGCGUGAAUAAUGAAAAAACUAAACAGUGACAUGUGGCAUGUCAUGAUACCUCAUGCCGACAUAUAAAGACCAAUUUUUAAUAGUAGAAUUGAAUAGAGUUUUUAACAGGAAGACCAAGUUUGCUCUUUAAUCUAAUGUACAAUAACUAAUUUAUCCAUUUUUUGAAUAGAAGAGAUAAAAUGCAAUCCAACUCUUAAUACAAGAAUUUUUAUAGUACUUUUACUAUCUUAUUAAGAUAAUAUAUAUACACAUGAUUUCUUUUAGAUCAUGAACUUACCUUCAUUUUUUUUUAUUUUUUAUUUUUUUUAUUUUUUAUAAAUGAAGGUUUGGCAGGUUUCGCGUCAUGCAAAGCUUUGUCUAAGAGGGACUGUGACCCGACCAAAGCUUCAUGUCCUUGGGACACUGUAAUACCCUACAACUUCAAGCUCUUUUCAAUGACGGCCUCUUACAUAAUUUUUGGUCUAAUUAUGAAUUUCAAUCAUUCUAAUUUAAGAAAAUAGAGAUUAUUUCCUCUAUUUUAAAUUUGUAGGAAUUUUAUCCUCAUUCUUUACCAAAACUGAGAAAUUAA